rnacentral:lncRNA from 1 species
UGAGUAGAGACUUAAUUGAAACCUCUAUGAAUUUUUCACAACAUUUCAAAAAAUUUUCAAGUUGCAAGGCUCACACCCCCGUGUGGUCUAAGGGACAUGCCCGGCUGCAGGCCGUGUUUGAUUUAGGUUGCUCUCUGACUUGCACACACGACUGAGACACAUGCCCGUGUCUCUGCCCGUGUGCUCAAUUCUGAGCAUUCUAUUUCUCAAAAUUAAGGUGCAGGGGACACAUGACCUAACCACAUGCCUGUGUUACCAGACCGUGUGUCACACACGGUCUAGACACACACCCGUGUGUCUACCCGUGUGGACAAAAUAAAGCCAUUUCUAACUUUAUUUCCCACACAAAAUUUCACCCAUGACCUACGCUUGAAUCACACAUACAAAUACCAACCAUUUCAAGCAUUCAAGAUAUGCAAGCUCUAUCAUUCAACAUGAUAUAUCAUCACAAGCAUUCAUGUUUACAGUCUUACUCUUUAAUAAGCAUACUUGUUUCCCCUUUCUUAAUCAAAUAAUAUAUAGUGUAACAACCCAUUUUUCAGUGAAAUCGGAAUAGUGGUUUUAGGACUACAAAUCCGACUGAAAAAUAUAAUUUAUUUUUAAUUUAUUAUAUGGUCCUUAAUAUGGUAGAUAAGUCAUGUGAAGAUUUCGAUACGAAAAUUUUAUCGAUUUAGUGCUUAAUUACGAGAAGGACCAAAUUGCAUAAAAUGCAAAAGUUGAAUUCUAGUAGCUAUAAGGAUCAAAUACCUAUUCAAAACUUAAGGUCCUUACAUGGUAAUUAGACCAUUAAAGAAAAGUAUGUAGAUUCUUGGUGACUCAUCCUGUAACAACCCAUUUUUAGUCAAAUCAGAAUAGUGAUUUUGAGACCACAAAUCUGAGGUCAAAAUAUUUAUUCUAUUAUUUUAUUAAAGUUUACAGCAUGAUAGAAUUACUGUCUGAAAGUUUAGUAAAGAAAUUUUACUGUUUGAAUGCUAAUUUCGGUAAAAAAGACUAAAUCGAGUAAAGUGUAAAAUUUGUGUUCUACUAGCUAAAAGUGUCAAGUAGCUAUAGAACAUUAAAGUAAAGGUCCUUAUGUGGUAAUUAUACCACUGAUUUUGUACGUGGACGUUCUUGGACAUGAUUAAAUGAUUUUUAAUGAAUUAUAACAAAGGUUAAUAAUGUAAUUUGGUAUUAAAUGAUGAAUUAAAUUAAAGAAAAACAAGAUAUCAUCUUGUUUCUUCUUCAUAUAACCAAGUUUAGGAAUCAAAACACCAUUAAAAGAGCUUCAAAUGUUUGGCCAUAAAUCUUUAAGCAUGUAAGUCCAUUUUUACUCAGUUUUUUUAAUGAUUUAUAUGUUUUUGAGAUUGUUGCUUUGUAUCUAGCUAGCCCGUACCUUAAAAUUUGAAAUUGUUAAAGAAUUAAUAUGUUGCCAUUGUUGAAUGCUUGAUUUAUUUGAUGAUUAAUGAUAGAUUAUGAAGAUUUAUUGAUAGAUUUACUAGUUUUCUAAAGUGGUGUUUGACAAAAAUGUCAAAAAGGGAUUAAAUUGAGAAAACGUGAAAUGUGGUGGUUAAAAGUGUGAAUAAAUAAAAGAUAUGGGCUACUAGGGACUCUAUUAAAAUUCGAUUAAGCAUGGGUUUAUGAUUAAUUGCAUGAACUAAAUUGUAAAUGUGUGAAACAUUAGGGGCAAAUUUGUAAAUUUUCCAAAAUAUGAAUUAUAGGCUAAAUUGAAUAGACCGAAUAUUUAAUGUGCUAAAUUUGAUAAUAUAUAGAUCAAUAUAAGCUGAGAUCGGGAUUAGAUCGAGGAAAAGGAAAAGUGGACGAAUAGUUGAUAAUUUCUAUCCGAGCAAUUUGAGGUAAGUUCGUAUAAUUAAAAUCUAACUUUUAAAUGCUUGUAAUUAUUUGAAAUGAAUGUAUGUAAUUGAAUAAAUGAUCUACUUGAAAUACGAAUGCCUUAUGGAUAUAGUUUGAUGGUUAACGAGCCUCGUUUGAACCGUAGGAUUUCGUAGGAUAUGAGUGACAUGUCACCAGGGUUACUAUUUAGGUCAAGAUCCUGCAUGUGUUGUGGACUCACCUCAGCUCGUAUGAGCUUAUUGAUAUAUCAACUCGUAAGAGAUUACUGUUCUCAGCUCGUCAGAGCUUACUGUUUCAACUCCAUAGAGCUUAUUGUUCAUCAGCUCAGGAGGAGCUUAAAGAUCAUAGCUUGAAAGAGUGGAUAUGAUGAUGAAUUGAUGGAUUACCGAUUAAUACACCUAGUGUGUAUCACCAGUGUAUCUAUCGAUAUUCUAAUAGGUUCAACAGACAUAAAUUCUGUUAUUGAUUAUGUGAAAAAGUUAUGUGUUAUACAGAUGAAUUACUAUUAUAUGGAUGAAGUACUGUUUAAACAGAUGAGUUACUGUUAUCGAAUGAUUUACUGUUUAUAUGAUUGAGAGUGUGUAAUAUCCUGAUUUUGGGCCUAGUCGGAAUAGCGGUUUCGUAACCACAAAAUUUGAGAUAUAAAUAAUUAUUUUAUGAUUAUUUUGAGGUUUAUGAUAUGAUUGCAUGAUUGUGUGAAAAUUUUGUGAAGAAAUUUUAUGCAUAAAGUGCUUAAAUUGAAAUUAGGGACUAAAUCGAAUAAUUUGUAAAACUUGCAUUCUAGAAGUUUCUAGUAUGAAAUUGUUUUGAAAUAUUAAUUAGGAGGUCUUAAAUAGAAAUUUUCCCAAUUUCUAUAUCUAUGGACAAAAAUUGGACAUGGAUGGAAUUUUUGGAAAGUUUAAUAGUAAGGGCAUUUUGGUCAUUUAGGGGUAAAAUGAAUUAAAAUACAAAAUUAAAAGCCAAUUUUGCUCAUCUUCAACCCCAUGGACGAAUAUAGCAAGGAGAAACCAUGGCUAGGGUUUUUCAAGCUUCCAAUCUCGAUUGUAAGUACGUUUUAGCCUCGUUUUUAAUGAUUUUUACGUUUUUGGAGUCCCGGUAGCUCGAUUAAGCUUAUGCUAGCAAUAAUUCAACCUAGGGUUCAUAUUUGGAAAAAUACCCAUAGGUGAAAUUUGUGUAUUUUGGUGUUUUAUGAUAGAAUAUGAGGUUUUAAAUUAUGUUAGACAACUUGUACUACUCGGUUUUAAGUGAAAACGAGCAAAAGGGCUUAAUCGGUAAAAAUACCUAAUAGUCAUAAGUACAUGUUAGAGUGAGAAUUUGAUGUUACCAUAGAAGGGAAAAAUGAUCAGCAUGUCAUAAAACAUAAGAAAAUAGGCUGAAGUUUAAUUUACGAGCUUUGGGGCAAAAGUGUAAAUAUGCGAAAGUUUAGGGGCAAAACUGUAAUUUUGCCAAAAUAUGAUUUUGGGUCAAUUUGUAUAAUGUGAGUCCUAAUUAUACUAUAUUUUAAAUGAUAGAGAAAGGAAAACUAAAAUUAGGGCUAAAAUGGGGAAAAUACCAAGUUGUGGACGAAAUGGUAAAAGUAGCCAUUUUCGCAUACGAGGUAAGUUCAUAUGUAAAUGUUGGUAACAUAGUUAUUAUUUUAAAUGUUUUAAUGUUAUUUAAAUGAUAUGAUAAUUAUUAUGAAAUAUUAUAUUGUGAUAAUUGUUUGUUAAUAUGUCAAAUUAUGUGAUAUACUUGGAAAAUGUGAAAUACUACCGAGUAUCGGUAACGGCAUUCCGUAAAAGAUGGUUGAGACACCUGAUUGCGAAAAAGGUCCCGUUGAACCUUAGGAAUGGAUUAGGAUACAAGUGACAUGUCACUAGGAUAUUUGGGCAUCCGAACUCGUUGAGUUGAGUCCGAGUUCACUUAUGGAUGCGAAUGUCUGAACUCGUUGAGUUGAGUCCGAGUUCGAGAGAUGUAACUAGGCAUCCGAGCUCAUUGAGUUGAGUCUGAGUUCACUUAUUGAUGCGAACGCCCGAGCUUGUUGAGUUGAGUCCGAGUUCACUUAUGGGCGAGUUACAUGGUAGCUUGACUACAUAUGUGGCACUUAUGUGCAAACUUUCCAUGUAUCCGAAUUAUAUUCCGAUGUGUUCAACGGGUAAAAUUCUACUCAAAUGGAGGAAUACUCGAGAUGAAAGGGACGUAUUGGUAAGUGUUGUGAAAUGAAUACUUUGAACAGGUAUGUACUUAACCCUUGGGUUGAAAACUCGAUAUAACAACAAUGUGGUAAGAUGAUAAAUGAAAAUGUGAUAUGAAUGUCUCGGUGAUGAUUAUGCAAAUGAUGUUUUAUGUUUGCGUAUAUAGUUGUGUUACUUGCUAUUUGCAUGUGAGCUUACUAAGCAUUUAUGCUUACACCCUCCUUUUCAUUCCUUGUAGUGUUGACAAGCCAGCUCGGAAAUCGGGAAUGGACGGAGGCACACUCACAACUAUCUGUAUACCAUCUUGGCAUAAUGGCUUGUAUAUUUUGAGUAUGGCAUGUAUAGCAUUAUAAUCAUUUUGUAUAUAUGGUCUUAUGAUAUGGUUAUUGAGUGGUAUGGAAAUGCUUGGUAAUGAUUAGCUUUUGGAAUGGCUAAUCAUGAUCAUAUUUGGUGUUAUGUAUGCUAAAUUGCUAGCUGAUCCAUGGAAACCAUGAAAUAGGUAAAAUUUACCAUAAAAUAGAUUCAGACAGCAACAGUGAUGUGAGUUUGAAAAAUCAUUAAAAAUAGUAGAGAUACAAUUAGAUGAUGAAUAAAAUAUGGAAUUGAAUAAUUAUGAGUCUAUUUGCAUAUGGAUGGAACAAAACAGGUAUAUGAGUUAUAUUUUAUGAUAUGUUGAAAUUUUUGUGAAACAGGUCUAGAGCGAUUUCUGGAUCCCCUGUUUUGACUUUGGAAAUUCACCAUAAAUUGUUUAAAGAUAAUUAGAAGUCAUGAUUUAUAUGUACAGAUUCCUUAUUCAGUCUAGUUUUAUUAGAAAUAAACGGCAUAGUCAUUGAAACUCUGUACAAGGAGAUAUAUGAUUUGUAAUACACAAAAGUUAGAGCAGUCGAACCCUGAAAAAGGUAAGUGUUGUGAAAUGAAUACUUUGAACAGGUAUGUACUUAACCCUCGGGUUGAAAACUCGAUAUAACAACAAUAUAGUAAGAUGAUGAAUGAAAAUGUGAUAUGAAUGUCUCGGUGAUGAUUAUGCAAAUGAUGUUUUAUGUUUGCGUAUAUAGUUGUGCUAUUUGCAUGUGAGCUUACUAAGCAUUUAUGCUUACUCCCUCCUUUUCAUUCCUUGUAGUGUUGACAAGCCAGCUCGGAAAUCGGGAACGGUCGGAGGCACACUCACACUAUCCGUAUACCAUCUUGGCAUAAUGGCUUGUAUAUUUUGAGUAUGGCAUGUAUAGCAUUAUAAUCAUUUUGUAUAUAUGGUCUUAUGAUAUGGUUAUUGAGUGGUAUGGAAAUGCUUGGUAAUGAUUAGCCAUUGGAAUGGCUAAUCAUGAUCAUAUUUGGUGUUAUGUAUGCUAAAUUGCUAGCUAAUCCAUGGAAACCAUGAAAUAGGUAAAAUUUACCAUAAAAUAGAUUCAGACAGCAACAGUGAUGUGAGUUUGAAAAAUCAUUAAAAAUAGUAAAGAUACAAUUAGAUGAUGAAUAAAAUAUGGAAUUGAAUAAUUAUGAGUCUAUUUGCAUAUGGAUGGAACAAAACAGGUAUAUGAGUUAUAUUUUAUGAGAUGUUGAAAUUUUUGUGAAACAGGUCCAGAGCGAUUUCUGGAUCCCCUAUUCUGACUUUGGAAAUUCACCAUAAACUGUUCAAAGAUAAUUAUAAGUCAUGAUUUAUAUGUACAGAUUCCGUAUUGAGUCUAGUUUUAUUAGAAACAAACGGCAUAGUCAUUGAAACUCUGUAUAAGGAGAUAUCUGGUUCGUAAUACACAGAGGCAGAGCAGUCGAACCCUGAAACAGGGGAGACUUUAACUAAUAAACUGUACUAAUUUGCUCGACCAAAAAUUAUAUAAAAAAAUUAGUAAAUAGAUAUAUGAGUCUAGUUUUAGGAAAAAUUUACGGAAUUGGAUUUCGAGUUUUGGAACUCGAGAUAUGAAUUUUUAAGCGACUGUGACGCAGAUUGCUAGCUUGACUGAAAAUUUUAAAAAUAAAUUGUUUGAGCUAUUUAAGUAAUGAAUUAAGUCUGUUAACACCUCGUGUUUGACUCCGGCGAUGGUCUCGGGUAUGGGGCGUUACAUUUGGUGGUAUCAGAGCAGGUUUAGUCGGUUCUCGAACUAACUUAGCAUGUGUAAAAGUUUAGCUAUACAUGCCACUAAUUGUGAUAGUGUGAUGUCUUCCGACGCAUAUGAGUACCGUCUUAUUUAGACAGGGUACUCUCCAACCGAGCUGCGCCGACCAUGUUCAAUGUUAUGUGAAGGUAUUUGAGUAAAAUUAUGAUUAUGAUAAGUCUCGGUGCAGAAAAGUAUGAAUAAAAGUGUAUGAUACAUAUGUGAUAAAUAUCCAUAUUUGCUUAAUGCUUAUAUGAUGUAGUGUAUAUGGCUUACUUGAUAAGAUGAACGGAAUAAAUAGAAAGUAGUAGAGGUAUGAAUAAAAGUCAUAAUAUUAUGAUACGAAUGAAAAUGUCAUUGUCUUGAUUUGGACGUCGAAUGUUGAUGAAUGCUAAUGAUAUAUAAUUUUUAUAAGAUAAAGGAUUAUAAUGAAAUGAACUUAUCUAUGUUAAAUUGUUGGACUGAAUUAUAUGAUUGUAAUGAUAUGUACAUGAUGAUGCAUGAAAUGAAUGUUGUGAUUGUGAUGCAAAUAUCUAUGUUUGUUUGGCCUUAUAUGAUGUCAUGAGCAUGAAUUAAUUUAAUUAAAUGAAUGGAUAAGUAAAGCUAUCUAGAAAACAUAGAAUGUAUGCAUAAGUAUAUUGUCUAAAUGGGACAAUAGGAAAAUUUGUGUAAGCCAACAUGAAUGUUGCAUUGCCUGAAUGAAUGACAUGAUUUUGAUGAUGUUGCUAUGAUGAUGGAAGUUGUGUCAUAUGUGUAUGUAUAAGAAAGUCGAGUCAGAGGUCCUACAACCCCUCCCCCUUACCGAAGUGGUACUUAUAAUAGAAUUUCAUGAGAUUUGUAUUGAAUAAGUUUCCGGUUGAGAACCCAAAGAGUUCAGUGAUAGAAUAAUUAUAAGUAUGAUCAGAGAUUGAAAAUAAGCUGAUAAGUAAAGUCAGAGUCAGUAAAGUAUCGGGUUGAUAUAAAGAUUAUUGGAAUUAUGCACUGUCCCAGUUAGAGAAGGAAAUUCUCUUUGGUAAAUCGAAUUACUCAGGUGCAUGGUCAAGAAAAGUGUAAAUCAAAAUUUAUUCAGAACUAACCUUCUUUAGUGAAUUAUCUGAGUGUGAUAGUUAUGACUGGACAGAUUUAGCAGUCUCUUUUGAGAUGUUCUAUGUGUUUACCCAUUCUCAGAAAUAUUUCUAUGGCUAUUGAUCUUUUGAAGAAAUUCUUGUUAUAUGGGAAUGUCUUCUAAUUCUAGUGUUGGAUGAAAGCAUUGGUAGUCUGACUGGUUUAUAAUUUAUUUUGCUCUAUUUCAUCGGGUAUUCUAUUCCAUUUCGUCUGAUAAGAAUUGAUGAGAGAAUACAUAUGAUAUUAUGAUUCUGCUUCUUCUACUUGAUGCUUCAUCUAAUAUAUAUGUAUGGGAAGAUAUAUUGUUCUUGUUAUAUUUGAUUCCAGUGGGAUUAAAUGAUGUUUUCUUUUGGAAUUUCUUUCUUUGAAGAAUUAUCGGGGUAUUCUAUAUUUUCUCUAUGAGUUUGGUUUUCGAUUCUCUGGCAUAGUAUCGUAUCUUGGAUUUCUUUAUUCGGUUUUCUUGUUAUCUUUGUUCUAUAAUUUGUCAAUAAUGACUCAUGUUCGAAGUACGUUCUUCAGCUCGUGAUAAUCAUGUCAAAUAUGACUAUACUUCUAAUUUGAUCUUGGUAAUGUGGUGAUUUUAGUAUUGGGAUUUUUUUUUCUAAUUUCUGUGUAAGGAUUUGACAUUAGUAAAGGCAUAGGUGAUAAAAGUGCGGGUUUCAGUCGGUAUGGCAAAUUAUUUAUUUGAAAGAUUUCAUGUGACAAUUAUGUCAGGAUUAUUUUUCUCACGUCUGAUAAUAUAAUUUCAUUUUUGUACUGAUAAAAGAGUAAAUAGUCUGAACGAGAAGUGUAUAUUUAUUAGAAAGAGUUGGAUAUUAGUUAAAGUCACUACGAAUGAUAAGGUUUUCGUCUUGUGAAAGCUGAAAAGUUUAUUACAUUUUGACAGAGUUUGGAUAGAUGAGAAUAUUGGUAACCGAAGCAUCUGAACUAGACUAGUCUAAAUUGAGUAAAGACUUCCUGACUUUUAGUAAUGUACCAUUGUAUGAAUUGUGAUGUGUUUCAAGAUAAUGGGGUAAUGUGAUAGUUUAGAGCUUUCGAUAUUACAUAAAAUCGGAGUUGUUAAAGGAGUUAAAGCCGAGCAUUGGGAUCUAUCAAAAUUAUCCUUGUCAGUGUUGAUAUUGGGAUGGAAAUGAGAAGGAUUAUUCUUGAGGCCAUAUCAGAAUUCAUUCCAUAGCAGAAAGAGGAAAAUGUGAUGUAUCCUAUUGUUAAAUGUUUAGCGAGAUCUAUAAAUCAUAUCUGUAUUGAAUGAAUUCCUACUCAUCAGAUUCAUGGAAUUUUAGGUCUCUUUGAUUGUUGGAUUUCUUGGAAUUCCGGUCUCCAUUAAUCAAGUUAAGAUUCGAGUUUUAUGUCAUGAUAUCAUGGGAAACUGAGAAGGGUUGAAAAUUUAAGAACAGUUGAGAGUUGAGACUGUAAGCUUUCAGAUCAUAUGAGAAAUUAAAGAGAUGUAUUGGAGGUACAGCCUAAGUGAAAGUUCUUCGGCACCGAAUAUGAGAUUAAAAGUGAAGACCACUUUUCUGUUAAGAUUUUCCGGGACGAAAAUCCCUAAAGGGGGGAGAGUUGUAAUAUCCUGAUUUUGGGCCUAGUCGGAAUAGCGGUUUCGUGACCACAAAAUCUGAGAUAUAAAUAAUUAUUUUAUGAUUAUUUUGAGGUUUAUGAUAUGAUUGCAUGAUUGUGUGAAAAUUUUGUGAAGAAAUUUUAUGCAUAAAGUGCUUAAAUUGAAAUUAGGGACUAAAUCGAAUAAUUUGUAAAACUUGCAUUCUAGAAGUUUCUAGUAUGAAAUUGUUUUGAAAUAUUAAUUAGGAGGUCUUAAAUAGCAAUUUUCCCAAUUUCUAUGUCUAUGGACAAAAAUUGGACAUGGAUGGAAUUUUUGGAAAGUUUAAUAGUAAGGGCAUUUUGGUCAUUUAGGGGUAAAAUGAAUUAAAAUACAAAAUUAAAAGCCAAUUUUGCUCAUCUUCAACCCCAUGGCCGAAUAUAGCAAGGAGAAACCAUGGCUAGGGUUUUUCAAGCUUCCAAUCUCGAUUGUAAGUACGUUCUAGCCUCGUUUUUAAUGAUUUUUACGUUUUUGGAGUCCCGGUAGCUCGAUUAAGCUUAUGCUAGCAAUAAUUCAACCUAGGGUUCAUAUUUGGAAAAAUACCCAUAGGUGAAAUUUGUGUAUUUUGGUGUUUUAUGAUAGAAUAUGAGGUUUUAAAUUAUGUUAGACAACUUGUACUACUCGGUUUUAAGUGAAAACGAGCAAAAGGGCUUAAUCGGUAAAAAUACCUAAUAGUCAUAAGUACAUGUUAGAGUGAGAAUUUGAUGUUACCAUAGAAGGGAAAAAUGAUCAGCAUGUCAUAAAACAUAAGAAAAUAGGCUGAAGUUUAAUUUACGAGCUUUGGGGCAAAAGUGUAAAUAUGCGAAAGUUUAGGGGCAAAACUGUAAUUUUUCCAAAAUAUGAUUUUGGGUCAAUUUGUAUAAUGUGAGUCCUAAUUAUACUAUAUUUUAAAUGAUAGAGCAAGGAAAACUAAAAUUUUGGCUAAAAUGGGGAAAAUACCAAGUUGUGGACGAAAUGGUAAAAGUAGCCAUUUUCGCAUACGAGGUAAGUUCAUAUGUAAAUGUUGGUAACAUAGUUAUUAUUUUAAAUGUUUUAAUGUUAUUUAAAUGAUAUGAUAAUUAUUAUGAAAUAUUAUACUGUGAUAAUUGUUUGUUAAUAUGUCAAAUUAUGUGAUAUACUUGGAAAAUGUGAAAUACUACCGAGUAUCGGUAACGGCAUUCCGUAAAAGAUGGUUGAGACACAUGACUGGGAAAAAGGUCCCAUUGAACCUUAGGAAUGGAUUAGGAUACAAGUGACAUGUCACUAGGAUAUUUGGGCAUCCGAACUCGUUGAGUUGAGUUCGAGUUCACUUAUGGAUGCGAAUGUCCGAACUCGUUGAGUUGAGUCCGGGUUCGAGAGAUGUAACUAGGCAUCCGAGCUCAUUGAGUUGAGUCCGAGUUCACUUAUUGAUGCGAACGCCCGAGCUUGUUGAGUUGAGUCCGAGUUCACUUAUGGGCGGGUUACAUGGUAGCUUGACUACAUAUGUGGCACUUAUGUGCAAACUUUCCAUGUAUCCGAAUUAUAUUCCGAUGUGUUCAACGGGUAAAAUUCUACUCAAAUGGAGGAAUACUCGAGAUGAAAGGGACGUAUUGGUAAGUUUUGUGAAAUGAAUACUUUGAACAGGUAUGUACUUAACCCUCGGGUUGAAAACUCGAUAUAACAACAAUAUGGUAAGAUGAUAAAUGAAAAUGUGAUAUGAAUGUCUCGGUGAUGAUUAUGCAAAUGAUGUUUUAUGUUUGCGUAUAUAGUUGUGCUAUUUGCAUGUGAGCUUACUACGCAUUUAUGCUUACACCCUCCUUUUCAUUCCUUGUAGUGUUGACAAGCCAGCUCGGAAAUCGGGAACGGUCGGAGGCACACUCACACUAUCCGUAUACCAUCUUGGCAUAAUGGCUUGUAUAUUUUGAGUAUGGCAUGUAUAACAUUAUAAUCAUUUUGUAUAUAUGGUCUUAUGAUAUGGUUAUUGAGUGGUAUGGAAAUGCUUGGUAAUGAUUAGCCAUUGGAAUGGCUAAUCAUGAUCAUAUUUGGUGUUAUGUAUGCUAAAUUGCUAGCUAAUCCAUGGAAACCAUGAAAUAGGUAAAAUUUACCAUAAAAUAGAUUCAGACAGCAACAGUGAUGUGAGUUUGAAAAAUCAUUAAAAAUAGUAAAGAUACAUUUAGAUGAUGAAUAAAAUAUGGAAUUGAAUAAUUAUGAGUCUAUUUGCAUAUGGAUGGAACAAAACAGGUAUAUGAGUUAUAUUUUAUGAGAUGUUGAAAUUUUUGUGAAACAGGUCCAGAGCGAUUUCUGGAUCCCCUGUUCUGACUUUGGAAAUUCACCAUAAACUGUUCAAAGAUAAUUGUAAGUCAUGAUUUAUAUGUACAGAUUCCUUAUUGAGUCUAAUUUUAUUAGAAACAAACGGCAUAGUCAUUGAAACUCUGUACAAGGAGAUAUCUGGUUCGUAAUACACAGAGGUCAGAGCAGUCGAACCCUGAAACAGGGGAGACUUUAACUAAUAAACUGUACUAAUUUUCUAGACCAAAAAUUAUAGAAAAAAAUUAGUAAAUAGAUAUAUGAGUCUCGUUUUAUGAAAAAUUUACGGAAUUUGAUUUUGAGUUUUGGAACUCGAGAUAUGAAUUUUUAAGCGGCUGUGACGCAGAUUGCUAGCUUGACUGAAAAUUUUAAAAAUAAAUUGUUUGAGCUGUUUAAGUAAUGAAUUAAGUCUGUUAACACCUCGUGUUCGACUCCGGCGAUGGUCUCGGGUACGGGGCGUUACAGAGUGAAAUGUUUCAAAUGAUGCACAUGAUAUAUGUAUUUGAUAUGAUACAAUGUAUUGAGUAUUAAACUGAGAUGACGGAUGAUUACAUAUACUUAUGUGACUAAGUUGUUGAUGAAUGCUUGUGUAUAGGCAUUUGACAAGUGAAUUUGAUACCUUGUUUAAUUGUUUGAUUAUGUAUAAAUGGUAAGUUAAAUUCUAAAUUAUACGGGCUUACUUAGCUAUAAAACUUACUCUAUUUCUUUUCUGUGUUUUAUAGAGGUUCAAUAGCUCGCUCGAUUCGGAUAAAGUAGGAGUUAUGCAUCACACUAUCUAGUUGCCAAUUGUUACCUUUGAACUUAUGAAUAUAUGUAAAUAUGGCAUGUAUAGGCUAUUUAUAAAGAUGAAAGUUAUAGUUACUUGAGAUGGUGAUUUUCGUACAUGUUGUUGUAUAUGUUAAAGCCAUGUGAUUUGGCUUAACUUGGUAUAAUGUUUUGGUUGUGUAUAAGCACUCAAAUAUGGUAUGUUUUGGCAAGUAGUAGAUGGAAUAGAAAUAUGAAAUGUUGUCUUGAUAUGUGAUAAGCAUACGAAUGGAAAAUGCAUAAUUUUAAUUAGGUAUUUGAAUACUAUGUUGAAUUGGUAUAAAAUGUGUAUGAAAUAUUGUGGAUUGGCUGCCUAUUGAGUUAUAAAUGUUGCAAAUUAUGCUUGUGCAGGUACGUAAAAAUAGGGGGGCAAAAUGGAUUUUCAAAUAGCCUAUUUUUGUCUACACGGAUAGAGACACGGGCUUGUGCCUCAGCUGUUUGUGACACACGAUCAUGUUACAUAGCCGUGUGUCCCUUGGUGUUGAAAUUGAAGUGAAGUUAGUAUGCUCCACACGGUUUCACACACGGGCGUGUGAUUGGUCGUGUGGUACAAGUUAGUCUACCCCCUAAUUGGCACACAGCCUAGCACACGGGCGUGUGACUUGGCCAUGUUGCAUAAACCAGUAUACCCUACAGGUUUGGCAUGGCCUAGCACACGACCUGGCACACAGACGUGUAUGGCCACUUCGAAGGGCACACGGGGUAGACACACGGGCGUGUGGUUGGCAGUGUGACCCAAGUCAGUAUGUACCCCUUGUUUUUACACGGUUGGCGACAUGGGCAUGUCUAGUCUCACACGGCCUGUCCACACGGGGUGUGUCCUCUAUUUUGAGAAAAUUUUUCAAAGUUUUGUAAAAGUUUUAUAAGUUAUUGGUUUAGUCCCGAACCACUCCUAAAGCAUGUUUUAGGCAUUGUAGGCUAUUAUAAGGGACAAAUUGAUUGAGAAUGAAUGAUGAUUGUAUGAAUUGAUUGAAUGUAUGAGAAAAGUAUGGUUAUAUGUGUUAUAAGUUCGGUAAUGCUCCGUAACCCUAUUCUAGCGUUGAAUACGGGUGAUGGGUGUUACACAUCCAUAGAAAAAUUAGAAAAUGUCAAGGACUAAAUUGGAAUUUGAAAUAAUUAAAUUAAUUAAAAGAUGAUAAAAGAAAAAAUCAUCUUAUUAUUUUCAUCUUCAACCUAAAAUUUUAUGGAAACCCUAGGAGAGAGAGGGGAAACUUUUAAAGCUUAAUUGGGUAAGUUAUUUUGUCUCGUUUUUAGUAAUUUUGGUAUUUUUGAAACCAGGAUAGCUUAAUCUCUCUAUUUGAGGGAUUAAUAUGAAAAUUUAUCAAGGUAUGAAAAUGGGUCAUGGAUGUAUUAUGCUGGAAAUUAGAAAUUUAUGGUAGAAACUGAAAGAUUAUUGAUAGAUAAACAACUUUUACAAAGUGGUUUUUGAUGAAUACAUGAUUUAGGGACUAAAAUGAAAAGUUGUAAAAUUUGAUGAAAAAUUCUGAAAUUUUAUGAAUACAUGUGCUGGAAAAUUUGUAAUGGGGCUUUGGUUAGGCUUGGAAUAGGGAGUAAGUUGCACAAGUUUCACUUUCUGGGCCUAGGGACAAAAUUAGAAUUUGUAACAGCCCGAUUUAGACCCUAUUCGGAAUGGUGGUUUUGGGACCACGAAUCUGAGACAGAAAAAUAUUUUAAAAUUAUUUUUUGUGUUUAUUAUGUGUGAAUUUAUAUCUGUGAAAUUUUCGUAUUUUAAUUUUGCCGUUUGAGUCUCGAUUUAAUAAAAAUGGCUUAAUCGCUUAAAAUGAAAAUUUGAUGGUCAAUUGUAAAAGGGUCGAAUUGAUGUUGUCUUUAUUACAUGAGGUAUUUAAGUUGUAAUUAAACCACAAUUAUAUAUGAUGGAUGGUUGUGACCUUAUAUUAUAAUGGUUUUAUAUUUUAGUUUAAAGGUUAAAUAUGUAAAAUAUGUAUAUAAUAAAACAUAAAAUUAAAAUAACCAUGCAUAUUAUCUUUUUUUUUUUGCUGAAACUUGAGAAAGAAAGAAAAUAAAGCUUAGGGUAUUCGGCCAUUGUUGAGCUUGAUUAAGAUAUGUAUCUAGCUCGGUUUUCGAUAAUUUUUACCUUUUUGAGAUCGUUGCAAUGUAAUGUACAAAGCCCAUGCUUGAAUUUCUGAUUUUGAUGAAUAUUUUGAUUUAUGCCAUUGAUGAAUAAUUGAGCUUUGUGAUGUUAGUUGAUGAAUUAUGAAAGAUAUGUUUUGGAUUAAUAUGUUUUGUAUUGGAAUUUUUGAUGAUUUUGAGUAAUUGGGACUAAAUUGCAAAAAUAAUAAAUUGAGGGACUAAAAUGUGAAAUAAACAAAAUGUAUGGACUUGUAUGAAUGUGGGUAGCAUUCGGCAUACGCAUGGUGUGUGCAAAUUUUGCAUGCUUUGUGUUUUGUGCAAUUUGGACUAAAUUGUAAAAAGUGUUAAAUGUUAGGGGUAAAAUGGUAAUUUUCUCAUUUAUGUGUUUUUAGACUAAAUUGAAUGAAAUUAUGUUUGAAUUUAAAAUUUGAAUAUGUUUAGAUCAAGAACCAAAGAAAUCGGAUUUGGAUCGAGGGAAAACCAAAGUUGUCGAUUAGUCGUCUCGUUCCGAUUAUCAUUGUCCGAAGUAAGUUUAUAAGCAAAUAGAUCUUAUUUAUUUGAUUAAAUAUGAACUAUAUAUGCUAAAAUGAUUAAUGUGAUAAUAUAUAUGUGGAAGCCGAAUAUGUAUAAGCUUGAAAUCUAUGUGUACGAGUUCGAUUCGACAGAGUUACGACGUUUGAAAGCCCGUACAAUCCUUAGGAAUAGCUAGGAUACAUAUGUCAUGACAUAGGAUUUCUGAUAUGUGUUCUCGUGUAAGACCACGUAUGGGACAUUGGCAUCGAUAUGUUAUUACAUGUAAGACCAUGUCUGGGACAUUGGCAUCGAAUUUGAUUCGUGUAAGACCCUGUCCGGGACAGUGGCAUCAAUAUGUGAUGGCAUGUAAGACCACGUCUGGGAUGUUGGCAUUGUACGAUAUAUAUGAUUAUCUGAGUAUCCUAUUCAAUUCCGAAUGGUUCAACGGGCAAUGAUAAGUUAUGAUCGAAUGUGAAAAUCGAGCUAAAGUGAUUAGGUAUGUGAUAUCAGAUUAUCUAUUUGAAAAUAAGGUAAGUUGGUUAUUUGAUAUAUGAUGCAAAUUAAACAUGAUGCUAAUGUAAAUAUAUGUGUAUUAGUGAAUUAUUUACGGCCACAUGUUAUGAAUAAGUAUGUGAUAUUAAAGUUGGAUUCAUUAGUAUUUGCAUAUGAGUGUGUUGACAUUUGGUUAUAAAAUGAUAUUAUGGCUUUGAAAUUGAAUGAUACUUUGGUAAUAGAUAUAUAUUCGGCCAAGGUAAAAUUUAUAUUAUAUACGAAAGUAUAUGUUUUAUAUGAAACUUUAAGCUUGAGAUUAAAUGUGAUUAUGUUAUUAUCAAUUGGUUUGAUUAAUUGAGUUGAUUAUGUUAUUGAGUUAUUUAUUUGCUUAUGACUUACUAAGCUAUGAUAGCUUACUAUGUGUGUAUGUUUGCCUCUGUUUUAUAGAUUUUGGAGUCAAGUUAAGAGCUUGGGGAUUGUCAGUGAAGUUUAUCACACUAUCGACUGUUUUCGGUACUUUAUAAGCGGAAUUAUUGAACCUAUGGCAUGUAUAGGCUAGAUUAUAUUUGGAUAUGUUGAUUUUGGUAUGUGUAUUUAUAUAAGCCAUGCAAAAAUGGCUUGAUCAUGAUACUAAUGUUGGCAUGUAUAUAUAUGGUCAUAUUAUAAGCUUAAUUUGGAGGUAUGUUUCAUGUUAAAUAUGUUUGUGAUGUUGGUUAUAUAAUUAGGAAAUGAGAUGUGUAAAUGAUGAAAUAUAAUCGGCCAUGAAAGUAGUUCAUUUUGGAAGUAUGAUUUGUGGUAUAUUUUAUGUGGUGGUUGAUUAUAAAAUUUGGCUUAAGUGAGAUAAAUGGUAAAUGAUGUGUUUUGAUAUAAUACAUAUGCUCAUAUAAGCUAGGUUAUGUUUAUGUGAUAGCUGCAUAUUCAUUGUUAAGGUACAGUUUGAAAUGUUAAAGUAUGAAUAUGUUUUGUAAUUUAUUUGAUGGUCAUUUAGGUACGGUUAUAAAUGGUACAACGAGUUUUGAUUUAAAUUGUGUAAUUGGUUGAAUUAUCGAAGAAUAAAUUUUAUGACCGAAUAUAUUGUUAAAAGAUUAGCUAUGCAUAUGUAUUUUGGAAAUGGUAAAGGGCUGUGUAUAUUUGGAUAGCAAUAGGUAAAAUAUACCUUUAUAUGCUUAUGAUAUGUUUGUUUGUGAUUCGGUUAUUAAAGGUUAAGCUGUUAAGUUAAAUGUUUGUGUUUAAAAUAUGCCUUAUAUAUGGGGUUUGGCUUGACUUAGUAAAUAGUGAAGAAGUGCAUAUCUAUAAAUAGUGUUUUUUAAAGGUAGCUAAUGAAUUAUAUUUAUAUGAGUGGAUGUCUUAAUAUAUGAUUGGUAUAUGAUAUGAAAUAUAGUUGGUUAUAAGUUAAGCAUUCGAUUGCCACAAUUCCUUAAUUAUAAUGAUUGAAUAUUAAUUUGGAAAUUGUAUGAAUUAUAGAAUCAAAGCAUGUUAGAUUGGUUUAAAAUUUUAUUAGAUGAUUAGUAUUGAAAUGAAUGUCUGUUUAAUUUUUUCUAUGAUAGGUAAUGCCUCUUAACCCUUCUCCAGCGACAGAUACGGGUUAGGGGUGUUACAGAAUUGGAAAAGUUAAAGGCAAAAUGGUAAUUUUGCCUAGGACGUAAAUUGAGUCCAUUUAAAUAUGAAAUGUGUGAAAUUGAUGGUUAAAUUUAUUUAUAUAGAUCCAAAUAACACUAAUUCGAGUUUAGAUCGAGAAAAAGAAAGGAUUUUGGAUUAGUAGACUUUUACGCGAACAAGUGUCGAGGUAAGUUCGGGUAACUUAAUCGAACUUGUAAAUAUGUUUAAUUAAAUGUUGUGUUUGUAUGUAAUAUGACUUACAAUGAUAUGGUUUGUUUGAUUGUUAUGAUGAAUGUUUGAAUUCAUGCUUGAAAUGAUGAUAAAGGGGUAAGUCCCGAUUGAAUAUUGAAUUUUGAUGAUUAUAUGUGCUUUCUUGAAACUAAUAAAGUCCUGCAUUUGUUGUGGACGGGAUUUAGCUCAGACGAGUAAUCCCAAUGACCUUGUUAUAGAAAGGAUUUAGCCCGGACAGGUAAUCUCGAUAUAAUACCUCUCGAGCAUAUGUUAUUAUUAGGGUUUAACCUAGACUGGUAAUCUUAAUCGAGCUCUUCUGAGCAUACGUUAUAUAAAGGAUUUGGCCUGGCUGGUAAUCAUAUUAUACGAUAAGUGGCUCAUGGUUAAGUGCCCUAAUGGGUACCCUUGAAUGAGGAAUUGACAGAUUAUUGAAUCGUACACUUCGAGUGUACUACUUAAGCAUCCAUCGAAAUUCAAUGAUUCAAUGGAUAUAAAACUCUUGACAUGGCAUGAAAAUCUUGAUAUGAUAUGAUAAUGACUUGAAAGAAUAUUGGUUGAUGAGCUCAUCCAUGUUACUUGAUUGAUAUGAAGAUUUUGGUGACUAACAUGUUUGAUUGAAAGUAUGUGAUUAGGCAAUUUAGCCAAUUGGAUGGGAAAUAUAACAAUGUAUGCCUAGAUUUAAGAAGUAAGAUUGGUAAGUUUAGUCUCCGUUAUAUGAACUUACUAAGCAUGUAAUGCUUACUACAUUUUAUUUUCCCCUAUUUUAUAGUGCUCGGAAGCUCAUAAAGUUGGAAGAUCACUGGAGCAAUGUCACACUAUCAACUAGGCACUUUAGGUAUAAUUAAUAAAAAACAUUUUGCUGUAAUGGCAUGUAUAGGACAACUUGGCCAAUAGUGGCUUGAAAUGUUAUUUUGUAACCUAACUAUUGGAAUGGCUAGUAAUGGUUCAUUUUACUAUGACUAAGUAGAUUAUUAUGAAAUAUAUAUAUACAUACGUGAUAUGUUAUGUAUAUGUGAUCAAAUGAUGCUAGUGCCUAAGUUAAGCAAGGUAAGUUUAUAAAAACUUGUGCUUGCUAUGCCAUGAUGAAUGAUGAAAUUGCUUAAUUUGAAUGCUUGGAUUGGUUGGUAUUGGAUGUGUUUUUCAAGUGCAGGUCUUGGGUGAAAUUUUGGGUGAGAAAUGAAUCUAGAAAUGACUUUAUUUUGUCCACACGGGCAGACACACGGGCGUGUAUGAUACACGGCCUGGUAACAUAGGCAUGUGUUUAGGCCGUGUGUCCCCUGCACCUUAAUUUUGAGAAACAGAAUGCUCAGAAUUGGGCAUAGGGACGAAGACUUAGGCGUGUGUCUUUGUAACAGUAGAUUUUUAGUCAAAUCGAAACAGUAGUUUUGGGACCACAAAUCUGAGGUCGAAAUAUUUAUUUUAUUAUUAUUUUAAGGUCUAUAGCAUAAAUAUAUGAUUGUGUGAAAAUUUCGUGAAGUAAUUUUAUCGUUUAAAUGGUCAAUUUGAGAAAAAGGACUAAAUUGCGUAAAAUGCAAAAGUAUUGUUCUAUAAGUUAAAAAGGUUUAAUAGCUAUGAAAUUAAAUGUUUGAAGGGUUUACAUUUUAAUUGUACCAUUGUUACAUUAAAUGGACAAAGAUGGACAAGUGAUUAAGUGUUUUUAGUAUUAAUAGUUAAGGUUAAAUAAGUAAUUUAGUAAUAAAUUAAUAAUAAGUAAAACCAAAGUUAAAAUUUUGUUCAUCUUUCUUUGUUAUUGCCGAAAUUGAAGGGAGAAUAAACCAUUUAAGGGUUUGAAGCAACCGGUCACUUCAUGUUGCCAUUGUUGAAUGCUUGAGUAAUUUGAUGAUUGAUGAUGGAUUUUGAAUAGUUGUUGAUAGUUAAACAAGUUUUGUAAAAUGAUUUUGAGUAAAAAUGCAAAAUAGGGAUUUGUUUGGGAAAAUGUAUGGUUAAAUGUGUGAAUAAAUAUGAGCUCCUAAGGGUAUAAUGGUAAUUCGGCUAAGCAUGGGUUAGUCUUGAAAUUUCAUGAAAUUGUGAUUUUGUGUAAUAAGGACUAAUUUGUAAAAAUGUGAAAGUUUAGGGACAAAUGUAUAAAAUAGCCCUAAUAUGUAUUUUUGAUUGAAUUGAAUAGAUAGAUGAAUAAAUAAGUUUAUUUUGAUUACUUAUAGAUCAAGAAAAGAGGAAUUUGGACUUAGAUCGGGGAAAAAGCAAAGUAAUUGAAUAGUCGGUCUGUUUCGUCAUUUUAGUACACGAGGUAAGUUCGUAUAAUUGAACUUAAAUGUGUAUCUAUUUAUUUGAUGGAUGAAAUUGAGAUAAUAUUUAUUCUAAUAGAUAAAUGUGGAGAUAUUAAAUUUAAUGUAGGGUUUAAGUAAAUAAGAUACUGAAUAAGACCAUAGCUGGGCUAUGGCAAAUCGAAUAAUAAGACCAUAACUGGGUUAUGGCAUGUGAAUGUAAGACCACGACAGGGCCUUGGCAAUGUAUGUGGAAGACCAUAGUUGGACUAUGGCAUCGAAAAAUCGAUGUAUUUAUAUCGUAAGCAUUUAUAAGCCGGAGUCAUUUGAUAAGAGAAUUGUUGAGAAAUAGAUAAGUAUCGUUAUAGGUAUGUACGAAAAACUAAUUCAAGUAACGAGUUAGAAGAAGAAGAGAACUUAUGAGUUAUGAUAUGGAUAAACUUUAUGUUAGUUCAUUUUUUGAUGCUUUAAAUGUUAAUUAUGUUAUCCAUUUCGAAAUGUUAAUAAAUGUUGUUAUUAUUUCAUAUUUACAUACGAACUUACUAAGCUUUAUAGCUUACUUUAUUUAAUUUUUGAUGUUUUAUAGUUUUACAAAGCUAGCUUGGAUCCGUGGAUUGUCAGAGACUUCACUGCACUAUCAGACACCUAUUUUGUACUUUUGAAGUUGUGUAUAUAUGGUAUAUCACAUGUCUAAGCUUGUGUCAUUUUAGUAUGUUUGAUGAACACGUAUUUAGGCCAUUUGAGUUGGCUUGUGAUGAUGAAUUUGUUAAUGUAUAAAGAUGUGAAAAUGGCUUGUUUUGAGUUAGGUAAUUGACCUAUAUUGAGUAAAUGAGGUUGAAUUGAUAAUGCAUGCUUGGAAUGGUUUAACUAAAUGAAUCAUAUAUGUGAAUUAUGUAUAGUAAAUCAAGUUGAGUUGAUAGGUAUCUGAAUAGGUAAAUGGCAUUGAAUUGAGUAUUGAAUUGGUUGAAAUGGAUAUAGUAUGAUUGUGUAUUGGUUGAUGACUUUUGGCUGCAUAUUUGUGUCUUAAAAUGGUACCAAUUGAACUUGUAUAGGUGUGUGAAAAAUGGGAUGCAAAAUGGCUUGGUCAAUGGCCUAUUUUGGUCUACACGGGAAGAGAAAUGGGCGUAUGCCUCAGUUGUGUCUGACACACGAUCAUGUUGCACGGCUGUGUGUCCUUGGUGUUGAUUUUGAAAACAAUUUAGUAUGCUCCACGUGGUCUCACACACAGGCGUGUGACUUGGCCGUGUGGUAUAAGUCAGUAUACCCUAUAGGUUUGGCACGGCCUAGCACAUAGCCUGGUACACAGGCGUGUGUGUUGGCCGUGUGACCCAAGUUAGAGAGUUACAUGGGGUCGGACAUGGGCUAGGACAUGGCCAUGUGUUCCUAUUUCGAAUGUUCACACAGCUUGUGACACGGGCAUGUUUGGUGGUCUUGUAAGACACACAGCCUGGCCACACAGGCGUGAGUCCUCUAUUUUGAGAAAUUUUUCAAAGUUUUGUAAAACUUUUAUAAAUCUGUUUUGUCCCAAACCGCUCCCAAGCAUGUUUAGGGUCUCGAAGGCUCGUAUAAGGGAUAAAAAGAUCGAAGUUGAAUGAUGAUUGUUUGUAUGAGAAAAGUAUGUUUAUAUGUAUUGUAAGUUUGAUAAUGCUUCGUUACCCUAUUCCGGCAUUUAAUAAGGGUGAGGGGUGUUACAGUCUUGGCCGUAUGAAGCCUGCACCUAAUUUCGAAGUGAAUUAACUAACCACACGGCCUAACACACGGGCAUGUGGCAUGGCCGUGUGUGCAAGUCAGAUAGUUACACGGGGUCGAACACGGCCUCUAGCAUUGGUAUGUCCCUUGGACCACACGGGUGUGUGAGCCCUACACCUUGGAAUAAUUUUGAAAAUUCGCAAAAGAUUCGUAAAGUUCUCGAUUAAGUCCUGACUCGAUUCUAAUGCUUGUAUUGGGCCUCGAGGGUCCAAGCAAGGGAUGUUAUGAAUGAUCUUGAUAAAUUAAUAGUAAUUGUUAUGAAUUAUCCGAAAAUAUUUUUGAAUGUUUCGAUAAUGCUCUGAAACCCUGUUCCAGCGACAUAUACGGGUUAGGGUGUUACAGUACUUAACUUACCAUUCAUCAUAUUUGAGGUAACUAAGUAAGGCAUAUUCAACCACUUUGAUCUCAAGCUCUACACACAUCCUUAUUGCUAUUGUUAGUCAUAUAUUCCAUAGUAACAUCAAGACAUGUAUGGGCCUUGUAGGCUCGUAUAAGGGAUAAAAAGAUUGAAGUUGAAUGAUGAUUGUAUGAAAUGAUUGAAUGUAUGAGAAAAGUAUGUUUAUAUGAAUUGUAAGUCUGAUAAUGCUCUGUAACCCUAUUCCGGUAUUGAAUAUGGGUGAGGAGUGUUACAUUUAUUGGUAUCAAAACUACGAUUUAGUCAAUUUUAGGACUAACAUAGCAUGUGUGAGAGUCUAGCUAUACAUGCCAUAUAUAACCUGUGAUAGUGUGAUGAAUCUUGACAUUAUAAACUAUGAUUCCAUAGUGAUGAAUCCUGACAUUAUAAACUAUGAUUCCAUAUAGUAAUAGAUCUCGAACAAGUUGUAGCAGAUGCUGUUGAGAGUAAUGUACCAACUCUCGCUCAAGGGACAACGCCUUCCGAAUCUAGACCCGUAUCGAAUAGUCACGGAGGUGAGUCUAACGAAGCUUUUUUCUAGAUGAUGAAUGAGUGGUUCAUCAAUAUGUCUGGAAAAAUUCAGCUGCUCAACAACCUCCACCCUACCAAAUCCUCAACCAAUCUUUAUAGUUCCUCAAGUUAUUGAUCCAAUACGAAUAAACAAGCCGCCAGUCGAUAAAGUUUGUAAGCAUGGGGCUGAAGAGUUCAGGGCUAAUGUUGAUGAUGAUCCUGAGAGAGCCGAGUUUUGGCUUUAACAUAUGAUCUGAGUGUUUGAUGAACUUUCUUGCACACCGGUUGAAUGUUUAAAGUGUCCUAUAUUCCUUUUGAGAGACACUGCAUACCAAUGGUGGAAUAUAUUAAUAUCUCUGGCGCCGAGAGAGAGUCACUUGGGAGUUCUUUCAGACCAAGUUCCGAAAAAAGUACAUAAGUUAAUGAUUUCUAGAUCAAAAGCAUAAAGAGUUUUUAGAACUAAAACAAGGCCGCAUGACUGUAACUGAGUACGAGAGAGAAUUUGUAUGGUUAAGUAAAUAUGCUCGAGAGUAUGUUUCGACUGAAGUGAUAACUUUGAUGGGUUGAACGAAGGUAUUAAACUUUUGGUCAGGAUAUUAGAUUUAAAAGAAUUCGUUGUAUUAGUUGACCGUGCUUGUAAAGCUGAAGAACUGGGCAAAGAAAAGAGAAAGGUUGAUUCUGAAGCUAGAGAUUCGAGAAAGAGAUUGAAGAAUAAACCCUAUCACUCUUCAUCACAGAAAUCUCAAGAUUCAUAUAGUCAAUCAAAUGCAUCAUUGGAGUACUCCAAUAGAGAUUGUGGGAAGCAAUUUAUGGGUUCAAAAACUCCAGCUAUGUCAGUGGAAAGUGUGGGAAAUGUUAGAUCGAAUAAACCUAAACGUGGAUGAUGUGAAAAAUGACAUUUUGGAGAGUGUAGACUGAAUGGUAAUGUGACAGCCCUAAAGCGACCCUAGUAGGAAAGCGGUUUCGGGACCGCUAAACUGAGUCACCAAAUUAUUUGAAUAUGAUAUUUAUUGUCUAAAAUAAAUGUGUGAAAAUUUUAAGCUUCGAUUUAGUAAAUUGCAUGUGAAUUUAGUCAAUAGGACUUAUGUGUGACAUUUUUGAAAUGUGAUAGUUCAAAACAUAAGGACCUAUUAGUGCAUGUUGAAAAAGGGGGGACUUGCAUGUCAAUUUUUCCCCCCAUCUAGUAGUGGCCGGCCAUGACAUUAGGAUGGACAAAGGGUAAUGGGCAAAACAUGUCAUAGACAUGUUGUGUUGGUGCAUCAUGGGAGGAAACAAUAAAAUAAAGUUAGUAAUAAAGAAAUGGAAAAAAGAAAGAAGGUGUGUGAUUGUUUCUCCCCCCUCCCCAUUACCGUGAAUGUAAGAAAGAAAAAAAAAGUGUCCAUCUUUUUUUCAUUUCUCUUGGCCGAAUGUUCUAAGGAAGAAAGGAAACAAGUUGUGUUCUUUGGUUCUUCUUGGCCGGAUUGAGAGGAGGAAGGAAGGAGUGAAGCAAUCGGUCAUCUUAGGUCGAUAUUAAGGUAAGGAAGUUGAUACUAGUUCUUGAAAUCCUAGUUGAUUUUGAGUGAGAUAUCAAGUUAUUGUUGGUAACCCAUGUUGAAAUUGUGAUUUUGGAAUAAGUAAGGUUUUCGGCUAUGGAGAUUAAUAAGGGUGAUGGUUGUGUUUCAUGCUAAAUCUAGAUGAACAAUGGUAGUUGCUUACAUCUUGAUGAUUAUGAGUUUCUUUCUUGGUUCUACCUUAGAUCCAUGAAGUAUAUUUUUAUUUGGUGUUGUUGGAAGUAUCGGCCAUGGUAUAUCCAUAAGUGUGAUUUAUGCUUAUUUGGUAGGUAAGAUUUAUGUUUUGGAUAUAUGUUUAAAUUUGGUUAUAAUCAAAUUUGUGAUUCGGCUCUUGCACAUAUAUAUAUAUGAUUGCACAUGAUGUAUUGGUAUGACCUAUAUAUUAUCUCAAGGUAUAUACUUACACAUGAUGGUGCUUCGGUUAUGGAUUAAAUGAUGGAUGCGUAUUGAGUUAUAAUAUGUAAUGCAUUAGUUAGUAAAAUGUAUGCCAUUUAUGUGUGGUAUUAAGUAUAUAAUCGGCCUCAACAUAGACAUGCAUAUUCGGCCAUAGGAAGAAGAUUGGUGUUGCAUGUAUUCGGUUAGAGGCAAGCAUAUUGAUGCUUUUGUCUUGGCUUAGAAAAUUCGGCCAAGGGGGAAUAUUAGCUAAAAAUGUUGAGUUUGAUUCAUGAUUCCAUAUAUAUAUGUGACUCUAAUGCCUAAAGUAUAUAUGGGCUAAGUACCUUGAGGUUUUCUUUUGAUGUUCGAAUGAAUUGUAUUAAAUUGCUUGAUGUGAUUAAAAAUGCAUAUGACCAUUGUGUAGUUGAGCUAGAAGGUGGCCAUAUGACCAAUCAAACUCCUUGUCAUAUUCGGCCAUAAGCUAGCAUAAUGAGACUUUAAUAAGUUAAAUUUGUUUGAAUUAGCUCAAGAGCUUAGAGGACCACAGUUGGAUAAGGGAAAGGAAAAGGUUAUCGAAUAGCCGCUGAAAACGUUCGACCACAUCCGAGGUAAGUUCUUGAGUAAUAGAGCUUAAAUUAUGAUUUGAUUAGAUCAUGUUUUAAGCAAAUCAAAAUCAUGCUCUUUGUGUGUGGCUAUUGAGCCGAAAUUGCAAGAGUGAUAAUUGUCUUGUGUUUGAGUUUUGCUAAUGAAAAUGAAAUACGAAUGUGUCAUGUUUUAUUGUUAAAUGUGCAUGGUUAUUCGAAUGAUGUCCGGGCUAAGUCCCGAAGGCUUUGUGCUAAGUGACCAUAUCCGGACUAAGAUCCGAAGGCAUUUGUGCGAGAUACUAAUUCCGGGCUAAGCCCGAAGGCAUUGGUGCGAGUUACUAAAUCCGGGUUAAGUCCCGAAGGCAUUUGUGCGAGUUACUAUAACCGGGCUAUGUCCCGAAGGCAUUUGAACGAGUAGCUAUAUCUGGUUAAAUUCUGAAGGUACGUGAUUUGGGAAUGAAUGAUCUUGCUAUAAAAAUUUCAGUUAAUACGCUUGUAACAUCCCAACAUUGAGGUAUGUUUCGUAUCUGCUUUGAAUUAGUUGAGCCCUUACAAAUAAGUAUUCGCUCAGUUGAUAAAUGAGCUACCGGCCUUUGGCUAAGUUGAUCUUUGUGUAUGAAUAAAAGGGUUGGUAAUGUGAAGUAAGUAUGAUAUUGAAAAUUUGUGCAUAUGAAAUUAUCCGUUUAGCUACAUGAAUGCUAUACUUUGGUUGUGUCUAAAUUCUUUGCUCAAAACUUACUAAGCAUUUAAUGCUUACUCCGUUUCUUUGAUUCUCUAUUUUAUAGAUUUUGGUUCUUCAGCUAUCGGACUCGGGAUUUUGAAGUCGAAGUCGCCCACACUAUCAAAGCUCCUUUUGGUAUACUUUUGGUUGAACUUUGAAAUGGCAUGUAUAGGACUACCCUUUUGUUGUUGGUCAUGUACCCUUCGGUUUUGUGUAAAUUUGGAUAGCCAUGCGAAAAUGGCUUAAAUAUACUUUGAUCAUAGCUUUAUAAUCGUUUUGUAUGUUCUCCGUCGAGAGGUAUGGAAAUGUUGGUAACGGUUAGCCAUGGAAAUGGUUAUUCAUUAUCAUUUUUGGAAUAUGUAUGACAAACUCUAGUUGAUCCAUGGAGGAUCAUGAAAUAGGUAAAGUUUACCUUAAAAAUAGAUGCUGGCAGCAGCAGUGAUGUGGAUGUGAAAAAUCACUAAAAAUAGUAGGAAUGGAAUUAAAUAGUGAAUAAAUUAUGUAAUCGAACCUUGAUGAAUAUAUUUUCAUAGAAUAGUAAUGAAACGUUCAUAUGAACAGUAUCUUAUGAGAUGCUAAAGUUUUCGUGAGAUAGGGCUAGAACGGUUUCUGGAUCCCCUGAUCUGACUUUGUAAAUUCAUUAUAAAUUAACCAGAGACAUUUAGAAGUCAUGCCAUAUAUGUAUAGAUUCCUCUUUGAGUCUAGUUUCUAUAGAAAUAAAUGGCAUCAGUAUUGAAGCUCUGUACAGGGAGAUAUCCAAGUCGUAAUGCGCAAAGGUCAGUGUAGUCGAUCCCUGUAACAUGGGAGACUUUGACUAAUAAACUGUACUAAUUGGCCCGACCAAAAAUUCUAGAAAAUAAUUUGUAGAUGCAUAUAUGAGUCUAGUUUCAGGGAAAAAUCACGAAACUGAUUUUCGAGUUGUGAAACUCAAGAUAUGAUUUUUAAGGUGACAGUGACGCAGUUAGCCAGCUUGCCUGGAAAAUUUAAAAUGGAUUGUGCAAAGAAGUGAUUUAAGUCUGCAAACCCCUCGUGUCCGACUCCGGCGACGAACUCGGGUACGGGGCGUUACAAUUUUAUUGGUAUUAGAGCUACGGUUUAGUUGAUUCUUGGACUACCGUAAUGCGUUGGGUUUAGCUAUACAUGCCAUUUUAUGUGAUUAUUUGAUAGUGUGGUGAUUUCUGACAUUUGCAAAUGUGUUUAUUUAUAGUAAUGGAUCCCGAUCCCGACCGAGCAGUAGCUGAUGAUCUUAAGAGUGUAGCGCCUGCUCCCACACAAGGGACAGCGCCGGCGGACUCUCAACCUAAUGCUAGUAAUCCGAAUGAUGAGGCUAGACAAGCUUUCUAUAGCAUGAUGAAUGAUUGGUUCAACCAAUACAUUCGAACUAAUAGGGCUGUUUCACAACCUCCAUUCCCGACAAAUACCACCCCCGCACCUACAAUACCUCCAGUAACGGACCAAAUAAGGUCAAAUAAGCCCCCAGUUGACAGAAUCCGAAAACACGGGGCUACUGAAUUUAAAGCUACGGACAGCGAUGAUGCCGAGCAAGCUGAAUUUUGGUUGGACAACACUAUCCGGGUACUCGACGAGCUAUCUUGCACACCCGAUGAGUGCCUAAAGUGUACUAUCUCCUUGCUACGUGAUUCUGCCUACUAUUGGUGGAAUACAUUGACUUCUGUUGUGCCUAGAGAGCAAGUAACUUGGGAAUUCUUCCAAACCGAGUUUCGAAAGAAGUAUAUCAGUCAGAGAUUCAUUGACCAAAAACGGAAGGAAUUUCUUGAACUUAAACAAGGUUCCAUGUCGGUUACCGACUAUGAACGAAAGUUUGUAAGGCUUAGCCGGUACGCACGAGAAUGCAUUUCCUCAGAAGCCGUAAUGUGUAAACAUUUCGAGGAUGGAUUGAAUGAUGAUAUAAAGUUGUAUGUUGGCAUUUUGGAAAUCCGAGAAUUUGUGGCACUUGUCGAGCGAGCUUGCAAAGCCGAGGAGCUCAGUAUGGAGAAAAGAAAAGCUGAGGCGGGAGCAAGGGAGUUUCGUAAGAGGUCUUCGGGGAAGCCCUUCCCACAGUCAUCGAAGAAAUUUAGAGAUGGAUUAGGCCGGUCUAGAGACACUUCGGGCUUUUCUAGACGAGAUCGCGAUCGACCCCUUUCGAGUGCACGAGUCACUUCGGUCGCCAGUGUGGGAAAUGAUCGUUGAGAUAGAACGGAGUGCCAGUAUUGUGGCAAAUGGCAUUCUGGAAGUUGUAGAUUCCAUGACCGCUCCUGCUACAAGUGCGGGUCAGUUGACCACUUUAUCAAAGAUUGCCCGAGAUUGUCUGAACAGAAUGUAAAUCAGAGUGGGAAACUGAGUGCUACCACUGCUCGAGGUAGACCAUCUAGAAACACGGGAAAUGCUAGUGGUGGUCAGAGAGGAUCUAGAGAUGCUGCGACCAGAUUUGAGGCUCGUGCUCCUGCUAGGGCUUAUGCUAUACGCGCACGCGAGGAUGCUUCCUCGCCAGAUGUUAUUACCGGUACUUUUACUCUCUUCGAUACUAAUGUGAUUACUUUAAUUGACCCUGGUUCUACUCAUUCUUAUAUAUGCGAAACUUACCAUCCAGUAAGACUUUACCUAUUGAGUCUACUGAGUUCGUAAUUCGGGUGUCAAAUCCCUUGGGUCGUUACGUGCUUGUCGACAAAGUGUGUAAGAAAUGCCCCCUAGUAAUUCGAGAUUCCUAUUUUUCGGUGGACUUGAUGCUUUUGCCGUUUGAUGUUAUUUUUGGUUUGGAUUGGUUGACCGCGCAUGAUGCGGUUGUGAAUUGCAAAAGCAAGACUAUUGAUUUGAGGUGCGCAAAUAACGAGAUAAUCCGAGUUGAGUCUACGGACUUAAAGGGGUUGCCAGCUGUAAUAUCAGCAAUGUUGGCCCAGAAAUAUGUAAGAAAAGGGUGCGAAGCAUACCUUGCGUAUGUACUUGAUGACAAAGAAUUAGAAAAGAAACCCGAAUCUGUGCCGGUGGUUUGUGAAUACCCGGAUGUUUUUCCUGAAGAAUUACUGGGUUUACCACCUAUUCGGGAGGUAGAGUUUGGUAUUGAGCUUGUACCUGGAACUACGCCAAUUUCGAUAGCUCCGUAUCGUAUGGCACCAACCGAGUUAAAAGAAUUGAAGGCUCAGUUGCAAGAGUUGACGGAUAGAGGUUUCGCUCGACCAAGUUUCUCACCUUGGGGUGCACCAGUAUUGUUUGUGAAAAAGAAGGACGGAACCAUGAGGUUGUGCAUUGACUAUCAUCAGCUGAAUAAAAUGACGAUAAAGAAUAAAUAUCCGUUACCGCGUAUUGAUGAUUUGUUUGAUCAACUAAAGGGAGCUUCAGUGUUUUCAAAGAUAGAUUUGAGAUCGGGUUAUUAUCAGUUGCGAAUUCGAGAUUCGAAUAUACCCAAAACUGCUUUCAGAACGAGAUACAGCCACUACGAGUUCUUAGUGAUGCCGUUUGGGCUCACUAAUGCCCCUGCGGUAUUUAUGGAUUUGAUGAAUCGGAUCUUCAGACAGUAUUUGGACCGGUUCGUAGUUGUGUUUAUUGAUGACAUCUUGGUCUAUUCAAGAGAUGAGACCGAACAUGCUGAGCACCUGAGAUUAGUGUUGCAAAUUUUACGGGAUAAGCAGUUAUAUGCUAAGUUCAGUAAGUGUGAGUUCUGGUUAAGAGAGGUUAGCUUAUUGGGCCACGUGGUAUCCGCAUCGAGUAUUCGAGUUGACCCGAACAAAAUUUCAGCCAUACUUAACUGGAAGCCUCCGAGAAAUAUUACUGAGGUUCGGAGCUUUUUGGGACUCGCCGGUUACUACCGACGAUUUGUAAAAGGUUUCUCGAUGAUAGCCACACCCAUGACGAAGCUACUUCAAAAAGAUAUUAAGUUCGAAUGGACGGAAAAAUGUCAGAAAAGUUUUGAUCAACUGAAAACUUAUUUGACUGAAGCCCCAAUUUUAGUGCAGCCCGAAUCAGGCAAAGAGUUUGUCAUCUAUAGUGACGCCUCCCUACUUGGGUUAGGUUGCGUGUUGAUGCAAGAAGGUCGAGUUGUGGCCUAUGCGUCGAGACAAUUAAAGCCACAUGAGAAAAAUUAUCCGACCCAUGAUCUCGAAUUAGCUGCCAUCGUAUUCGCCUUGAAAAUAUGGCGACAUUACUUAUUUGGUGAAAAGUGCCAUGUAUUUUUGGAUCACAAAAGUCUCAAAUAUUUGAUGACUCAAAGAGACUUAAAUCUGCGACAAAGACGUUGGCUUGAGUUGUUGAAAGAUUAUGAGCUUGUCAUUGAUUACCACCCGGGAAAGGCUAAUGUGGUUGCUGACGCAUUAAGCCGGAAAUCACUGUUUACUUUACGAGCGAUGAAUGUACACUUGUCUGUUCUACCCGACAAUGUGUUAGUAGCUGAAUUAAAGGCCAAACCAUUAUUGAUUCAUCAAAUUCAUGAAGCUCAGAAAGUCGACGAUGAAUUGGUUGCAAAACGGGCUGAAUGUGUUCCGAAUAUGGAAUCCGAAUUUCAAAUUGAUGAUGAUGAUUGUUUGAGGUUCAAAAGUCGGUUGUGUGUUCCAAGAAAUUCAGAACUCAUUUCGAUGAUUCUGAACGAAGCCCAUUGUAGCCGAAUGUCAAUUCACCUGGGGAGUACGAAAAUGUACAACGAUCUGAGACACCAGUUUUGGUGGCAUGGUAUGAAACGAGACAUUUCUGAUUUUGUUUCGAAGUGUUUAAUAUGUCAGCAAGUAAAGGCGAAACAUCAAGUGCCUACGGGUUUACUCCAGCCAAUCAUGGUACCUGAAUGGAAAUGGGAUCGAGUCACGAUGGAUUUCGUAUCUGGGUUGCCAGUAUCGGCAAGUAAGAAAGAUGCGAUUUGGGUUGUUGUGGAUAGACUGACUAAGUCGGCUCACUUUAUCCCCGUACGUACGGAUUUUUCAUUGGUUAAACUAGCUGAAUUGUAUGUUUCUCAGAUUGUGAGAUUACACGGGGUACCGAUUUCUAUUGUGUCGGAUAGAGAUCCGAGAUUCACCUCGCGAUUUUGGAAGAAAUUGCAAGAAGCUUUGGGUACCAAGCUGCACUUUAGCACCGCUUUUCACCCCCAAACCGAUGGUCAAUCCGAGCGGAUAAUUCAGAUACUUGAGGAUAUGUUGAGAUGUUGCAUCCUCGAGUUCAGUGGUUCAUGGGAACGGUAUUUACCUUUGAUUGAAUUCGCUUACAACAACAGUUUUCAAUCAAGUAUUAAGAUGGCACCUUACGAGGCUUUGUACGGUCGUAAAUGCCGUACACCAUUGUUUUGGACUGAGCUUGGUGAAAGUAAAAUUUUCGGAGUUGAUUUGAUUAAAGAUGCUGAACAGAAAGUAAAGGUAAUCCGUGAAAGUCUGAAGGCAGUCACAGAUCGUCAGAAAUCGUAUGCGGAUUUGAAACGAAAAGACAUUGAAUAUCAGGUGGGAGAUAAAGUGUUUCUUAAAGUUUCGCCUUGGAAAAAGAUACUCAGAUUUGGCCGUAAGGGCAAGUUGAGCCCGAGAUUCAUUGGGCCGUACGAAAUCUCCGAACGAGUUGGUCCAGUUGCGUAUAGAUUGAUUUUGCCCCCUGAACUUGAAAAGAUUCACUACGUCUUUCAUGUUUCGAUGCUUCGACGUUAUAGAUCCGAUCCGUCACACGUGAUUAAUCCCUCAGAAGUUGAAAUUCAAUCUGACUUGAGUUAUGAAGAAGAACCGAUUCGUAUCCUAGCUCGUGAAGUGAAAGAGUUGCGAAACAAAAGGGUUCCGUUAGUAAAGGUGUUAUGGCUCAAACACGGAGUCGAAGAAGCUACUUGGGAAACCGAGAAUGCCAUGAAAGAACGAUACCCAAACUUAUUUACCGGUAAGAUUUUCGGGGACAAAAAUUUCUUAAGUGGGGGAGAGUUGUGACAGCCCUAAAGCGACCCUAGUAGGAAAGCGGUUUCGGGACCGCUAAACCGAGUCACCAAAUUAUUUGAAUAUGAUAUUUAUUGUCUAAAAUAAAUGUGUGAAAAUUUUAAGCUUCGAUUUAGUAAAUUGCAUGUGAAUUUAGUCAAUAGGACUUAUGUGUGACAUUUUUGAAAUGUGAUAGAUCAAAACAUAAGGACCUAUUAGUGCAUGUUGAAAAAGGAGGGACUUGCAUGUCAAUAUUUCCCCCCAUCUAGUAGUGGCCGGCCAUGACAUUAGGAUGGACAAAGGGUGAUGGGCAAAACAUGUCAUAGACAUGUUGUGUUGGUGCAUCAUGGGAGGAAACAGUAAAAUAAAGUUAGUAAUAAAGAAAUGGAAAAAAGAAAGAAGGUGUGUGAUUGUUUCUCCCCCCUCCCCAUUGCCGUGAAUGUAAGAAAGAAAAAAAAAAGUGUCCAUCUUUUUUUCAUUUCUCUUGGCCGAAUGUUCUAAGGAAGAAAGGAAACAAGUUGUGUUCUUUGGUUCUUCUUGGCCGGAUUGAGAGGAGGAAGGAAGGAGUGAAGCAAUCGGUCAUCUUAGGUCGAUAUUAAGGUAAGGAAGUUGAUACUAGUUCUUGAAAUCCUAGUUGAUUUUGAGUGAGAUAUCAAGUUAUUGUUGGUAACCCAUGUUGAAAUUGUGAUUUUGGAAUAAGUAAGGUUUUCGGCUAUGGAGAUUAAUAAGGGUGAUGGUUGUGUUUUAUGCUAAAUCUAGAUGAACAAUGGUAGUUGCUUACAUCUUGAUGAUUAUGAGUUUCUUUCUUGGUUCUACCUUAGAUCCAUGAAGUAUAUUUUUAUUUGGUGUUGUUGGAAGUAUCGGCCAUGGUAUAUCCAUAAGUGUGAUUUAUGCUUAUUUGGUAGGUAAGAUUUAUGUUUUGGAUAUAUGUUUAAAUUUGGUUAUAAUCAAAUUUGUGAUUCGGCUCUUGCACAUAUAUAUAUAUGAUUGCACAUGAUGUAUUGGUAUGACCUAUAUAUUAUCUCAAGGUAUAUACUUACACAUGAUGGUGCUUCGGUUAUGGAUUAAAUGAUGGAUGCGUAUUGAGUUAUAAUAUGUAAUGCAUUAGUUAGUAAAAUGUAUGUCAUUUAUGUGUGGUAUUAAGUAUAUAAUCGGCCUCAACAUAGACAUGCAUAUUCGGCCAUAGGAAGAAGAUUGGUGUUGCAUGUAUUCGGUUAGAGGCAAGCAUAUUGAUGCUUUUGUCUUGGCUUAGAAAAUUCGGCCAAGGGGGAAUAUUAGCUAAAAAUGUUGAGUUUGAUUCAUGAUUCCAUAUAUAUAUGUGACUCUAAUGCCUAAAGUAUAUAUGGGCUAAGUACCUUGAGGUUUUCUUUUGAUGUUCGAAUGAAUUGUAUUAAAUUGCUUGAUGUGAUUAAAAAUGCAUAUGACCAUUGUGUAGUUGAGCUAGAAGGUGGCCAUAUGACCAAUCAAACUCCUUGUCAUAUUCGGCCAUAAGCUAGCAUAAUGAGACUUUAAUAAGUUAAAUUUGUUUGAAUUAGCUCAAGAGCUUAGAGGACCACAGUUGGAUAAGGGAAAGGAAAAGGUUAUCGAAUAGCCGCUGAAAACGUUCGACCACAUCUGAGGUAAGUUCUUGAGUAAUAGAGCUUAAAUUAUGAUUUGAUUAGAUCAUGUUUUAAGCAAAUCAAAAUCAUGCUCUUUGUGUGUGGCUAUUGAGCCGAAAUUGCAAGAGUGAUAAGUGUCUUGUGUUUGAGUUUUGCUAAUGAAAAUGAAAUACGAAUGUGUCAUGUUUUAUUGUUAAAUGUGCAUGGUUAUUCGAAUGAUGUCCGGGCUAAGUCCUGAAGGCUUUGUGCUAAGUGACCAUAUCCGGACUAAUAUCCGAAGGCAUUUGUGCGAGAUACUAAUUCCGGGCUAAGCCCGAAGGCAUUGGUGCGAGUUACUAAAUCCGGGUUAAGUCCCGAAGGCAUUUGUGCGAGUUACUAUAACCGGGCUAUGUCCCGAAGGCAUUUGAACGAGUAGCUAUAUCUGAUUAAAUUCUGAAGGUACUUGAUUUGGGAAUGAAUGAUCUUGCUGUAAAAAUUUCAGUUAAUACGCUUGUAACAUCCCAACAUUGAGGUAUGUUUCGUAUGUGCUUUGAAUUUGUUGAGCCCUUACAAAUAAGUAUUCACUCAGUUGAUAAAUGAGCUACCGGCCUUUGGCUAAGUUGAUCUUUGUGUAUGAAUAAAAGGGUUGGUAAUGUGAAGUAAGUAUGAUAUUGAAAAUUUGUGCAUAUGAAAUUAUCCGUUUAGCUACAUGAAUGCUAUACUUUGGUUGUCUAAAUUCUUUGCUCAAAACUUACUAAGCAUUUAAUGCUUACUCCGUUUCUUUGAUUCUCUAUUUUAUAGAUUUUGGUUCUUCAGCUAUCGGACUCGGGAUUUUGAAGUCGAAGUCACGCACACUAUCAAGCUCCUUUUGGUAUACUUUUGGUUGAACUUUGAAAUGGCAUGUAUAGGACUACCCUUUUGUUGUUGGUCAUGUACCCUUCGGUUUUGUGUAAAUUUGUAUAGCCAUGCGAAAAUGGCUUAAAUAUACUUUGAUCAUAGCUUUAUAAUCAUUUUGUAUGUUGUCCGUCGAGAGGUAUGGAAAUGUUGGUAACGGUUAGCCAUGGAAAUGGUUAUUCAUGAUCAUUUUUGGAAUAUGUAUGACAAACUCUAGUUGAUCCAUGGAGGAUCAUGAAAUAGGUAAAGUUUACCUUAAAAAUAGAUGCUGGCAGCAGCAGUGAUGUGGAUGUGAAAAAUCACUAAAAAUAGUAGGAAUGGAAUUAAAUAGUGAAUAAAUUAUGUAAUCGAACCUUGAUGAAUCUAUUUUCAUAGGAUAGUAACAAAAUGUUCAUAUGAAUAGUAUAUUAUGAGAUGCUAAAGUUUUCGUGAGUCAGGGCCAGAACGGUUUCCGGAUCCCCUAAUCUGACUUUGGAAAUUCAUUAUAAAUUAACCAGAGAUAUUUAGAAGUCAUUCCAUAUAUGUAUAGAUUCCUCUUUGAGUGUAGUUUUCAUAAAAACAAACGACAUCAGUAUUGAAGCCCUGUACAGGGAGAUAUCCAAGUCGUAAUGCGCAAAGGUCAGUGUAGUCGAUCCCUCUAACAUGGGAGACUUUGACUAAUAAACUGUACUAAUUGGCCCGACCAAAAAUUCUAGAAAAAAUUUUUUAGAUGCAUAUAUGAGUCUAGUUUCAGGGAAAAAUCACGAAACUGAUUUUCAAGUUGUGAAACUCAAGAUAUGAUUUUUAAGGUGACAGUGACGCAGUUAGCCAGCUUGCCUGGAAAAUUUAAAAUGGAUUGUGCAAAGAAGUGAUUUAAGUCUGCAAACCCCUCGUGUCCGACUCCGGUGACGGACUCGGGUACGGGGCGUUACAGGUAAAGCCUGUUUUAGAUGUGGCUCACUUGAGCAUUUCAUUCGAGAUUGUCCUGAGUUAGAUGAGAAAGAUAAAUCUCAGAAUGUAAGAUCAAACAACCCGAUUUUGACAGGAAGACCAUCCGUAAUGUUGGAAAUGUGAGUGGUGGUAGAGGUGCGACAUGAGAUACUACUGUGAGAUUCUAGCCUAGAGCACCUACUAGAACUUUUGCUAUUCGCUCCUGCGAAUAAGCGUCAUCUCCAGAUGUUAUUACCAAUACUUUCUCACUUUAUGACACUAAUGUAGUUGCAUUGAUAGAUCCCGGAUCAACUCAUUCAUAUAUAUAUGUGUGAACUUAGUGUCUAAUAAGAAUUGACUUGUUGAUUCUACUGAGUUUGUUAUAAAAGUGUCAAACCCCUUAGGUAAAUAUGUCUUGAUUGACCGUUUGCAAGAAUUAUCCGUUAAUGACUCGGGGUUACUGUUUUAUGGCUAAUUUGAUGUUGUUGCCAUUUAACGAGUUUGAUGUUAUUCUGGGUAUGGACUGGUUGACAUUGCAUGGUGUAAUAGUAAAUUGUCGACAGAAGGUAAUUGAGUUGAAAUGUUAGAAUAAUGAAACUAUCUGAAUCGAAUCAAAUGAUUUAAAAGGUUUACCAAUUGUAAUUUUGUCAAUGUUAGCUCAGAAGUAUGUGAAAAAGGGAUGCGAUGCAUAUCUUGCAUAUGUACUUGAUACAAAAGUGUCAGAAACAAAGAUUGAAUCAGUGCCAGUUAUUUUUGAGUAUCCAGAUGUGUUUCAAGAAGAGUUAUCGGGUUUGCCACUGAUCAGAGAGGUUGAAUUUGCUAUUGAUUUAGUACCGAGAACUUCACCGAUAUCGAUAGCUCCAUACAGAAUGACUCCGAUAGAGUUGAAAGAGUUGAAAGCUCAGUUGCAAGAAUUAACUGAUAAAGGAUUCGCAAAACUGAGUUUCUCACCCUAGGGUGCACCAGAGUUAUUUGUAAAGAAAAAGGAUGGUUCUUUGAGAAUGUGUGUAGACUAUCGACAGCUCAACAAAGUGACAAUCAAGAAUAAAUAUCCUCUAUCGAGAAUUCAUAUUUGUUUGAUCAGUUAAAAGGGGUACAGUGUUUUUAAAGAUUGAUUUGAGAUCUGGUUAUUAUCAGUUACGAGUUAAAGGCUCAGAUGUGCAGAAAAUAGUGUUUAGAAUGAGGUACGAAUAUUCUGAAUUCCUUAUUAUGCCUUUUGGAUUGACUAAUGCUCUUGCCAUUUUUAUGGAUUUGAUGAAUCAGAUUUUUAGGCCGUAUUUAGACAAAUUUUUUGUUGUAUUUAUUGACGACAUUUUGAUCUACUCUCGAGAUGAGUCUAAACAUGUUGAGCAUUUGAGGAUAGUGUUACAAACCUUGAGAGACAAGUAAUUGUUUGUAAAAUUUAGCAAAUGUGAGUUUUGGCUCUGACAGGUUGGAUUUUUGGGGCAUAUUGUUUCAGCCGAAGGUAUUAGAGUUGACUCGAGCAAGAUUUCUGCAGUUGUUAACUAGAAACCACCUAGAAAUGUAUCCAAAAUUAGAAGCUUUUUGGGACUAGCUGGUUACUAUCAACGUUUCGUUAAAGGGUACUCGACAUUUGCUACACCGCUGACUCAAUUACUUCAGAAAGAUGUAAAGUUCGAAUGGUCUGAGAAGUGUCAGAAAAGUUUCGAACAAUUGAAAGCAUUAUUGAUAGAGGCACUAGUUUUAGUACAGCCUCAGUCGGGUAAAGAAUUCAUAAUUUUCAGUGAUGCAUGGUUGAACGGUCUGGGUUGUGUAUUGAUGCAGAUAGGCAAAGUAAUAGCUUAAGCUUCUAGAUAGUUGAAACUGCAUGAAAAGAAUUAUUUGGCGCACGAUUUAGAGUUGGCCGCGAUUGUGUUUUGCAUUAAAGAUUUGGCGACAUCACUUGUUUGGUGAGAAAUGCCACAUUUAUACAGAUCACAAGAGCUUAAAAUAUUUAAUGACUCAGAAAGACUUGAAUUUGCGACAAAAAAGAUGGCUUGAAUUACGGAAAGAUUAUGAGCUAGUAAUUAAUUAUCAUCCCGGGAAAGUGAACGUGGUUGCUGAUGUUUUAAGUAGAAAUUCAUUAUUUUCUUUUACUGCGAUGAAUACACAGUUAGCUUUCUCUGAAGAUGGUUUAAUUGUAGCUGAGUUGAAAGCAAGACCGUUAUUUCUUCAGCAAAUCUGUGAAGCUCAAAAAUGUGAUAGUGAAUUGAAAGCCAAACUAGUUCAGUGUGAGUCGACUUUUGAUUCAGAGUUCCAAAUCGGAUCUAAUGAUUAUUUGAUGUUUCUAGGAAGAAUUUAUGUACCAAGGAAUUCCAAGCUUAUUAAGAAGAUUUUAAUUGAAGCACAUAAUGGUUUUUUAUCCGUACAUCAGGGAAGUACUAAAAUGUAUAACGAUUUGAAAUAGUUAUAUUGGUGGUCAGGUAUGAAACGAGACAUUUAAGAGUUUGUAUCGAAAUGUUUAGAUUGUCAACAAGUGAAAGCUGAACAUCAAGUGCCUUCAGGUUUGCUUUAGCCUGUGAUGAUACCGGAGUGGAAAUGGGAUAGAGUGACGAUAGAUUUUGUAUUGGGAUUACUCAUGUCUCCGAAGAAGAAAUAUACAAUUUGGGUUUUCGUUAAUCGACUAACGAAAUCUGCACAUUUUAUUUCGGUACGUACAAACUAUUCACUUGAUAAAUUUGCUGAAUUGUACAUAUCUGAGAUAAUGAGAUUGCACGGUGUGCCAAUUUCGAUUAUUUCUGAUAGAUAUUCGAGGUUUACGUCGUGAUUUUAGAAGAAAUUGCAAGAAGCCCUAAGUACGAAGUUGAAUUUUAGUACAACUUUUCAUCCACAAACUGAUGGAUAGUCUGAACGAAUAAUUCAGGUUCUCAAAGAUAUGCUCAGAUGUUGUGUUUUAUAGUUCGAAGGGAAAUGGGAGAAAUAUUUAUCACUGGUUGAAUUUAUGUAUAAUAAAAGUUUUCAAUCGAGCAUAAAAAUAACACUGUAUGAAACUUUGUAUGGUCGCAAUUACCGAACUCCAUUGUAUUGGACUGAGCUUAAUUAGAAACAGAUUCACAGGGUUGAUUUGGUUAGAUAAAUCGAUAAGAAAGUAAAUUAAUUCACAACUAUUUGAAAGAAGCUUUAGAUCAUUAGAAAUCGUAUGCGAAUUUAAAACGAAAGGAUAUUGAAUUUCAAAUCGGUGAUAAAGUGUUUCUAAAAGUGUCCCCGUGGAAGAAAAUACUUCGAUUUGGUCGUAAAGGCAAACUGAGUCUCAGAUUCAUCGGGCAGUAUGAAAUCAUUGAAAGAAUAGGGCCAGUAGCAUAUCGACUAUCUCUACCAUUAGAGUUAGUGUAAUGCCCCAAAAGUCCCAAAAUCCAAAAAUCCCAAUAUGAAAUCAUUGAAAGAAUAGGGCCAGUAGCAUAUCGACUAUCUCUACCAUUAGAGUUAGUGUAAUGCCCCAAAAGCCCCAAAAUCCAAAAAUCCCAAAAUGCAUAAAUCUUGAAAUCCCGAAUUUUCUUUAUUUUUGAUUUUGAUAAAAAUUGUGUUUAAUAUUCUUAUCCAAGCGAUAAUUUUAGUAGGUCUUAGCUAAGGUUGAGUUCGAAUUAAGGGGUAAAAGAAAUUAUAAUUUAAUUAUUAAAAGAAUCAGGGCUGGCAAGUAGGUGGGCUUUUGAAUAAAUGAAGAAACAAUUGGACACAAAAAGAGCCUGUGGUGGAGUGGCUAAGUAACGCCACAUAAGGUGCAGUGAGGUGGCGUUAGUAGCUAGAAAGGGGGUCCAAGGUUCGAAUCCUAGCUUAGUAUUUUUAGAAUUUAAUUUUGGCCUUCUAGAAGAAUGGAAGUGGCAUGAAGAUGGACUCUAAGGGGAGUGUUCAGAAGACAAAAUUAAGGAAAGAAUCAAGGGGUUAUCAGGGAGAAAAACGAGGAGAUGAGAAGUGAGGAGUAAGUGGAGCCGAAUUGGGAACUUGGGCUUGAAGAAUUCAGCUAUAUGGCUAUAAAUAGGUGCCGAAUAGGAGGGUUGAAAAGCUAAUGACGAAUUUCCCUUCACUUUGUGCCAGAAACCCUUUUCUCUAAAAAAUCGAAAACCCUUUUGUUUUCUUUUCUUUCUUUGUGCCGAAUUCUUAUCCCUCCUCUACUCAAUAUUUUCUUUGCUUUGGCCGAUUCUUCUUCCUCUCUUCUUUGGUGUUGAGUAAUCAAUUGUUGUCAUUCAAAUCUCUAAGAGCCAAAUACCCUUGGCGCUGCCACUACUCUUUCCACCCAAUCGAUCUAGUGUAAGUGUUCGUUCUCCCAAUCGGUUUUUGAUAAGUAUCGAGUAUUCGGUCCCUCACUUUUUUCUAAUCGACUUUGGUAGGGAAUUAGUGUCAGAUCUCGGUUUUGGAUUCUUGCCAAUUUUCUAUUCAGAUCUGAGAAAUACGCGUGUUUAGUGAUCAAAGUAAAAGCUAGUAAAGGCUUAGCGUUCAGGUAAGGUUAAGGUGAGAUUCUGGCUUUUGGUAAAGUAAUCGAUAUGUACGUGUGAUUAAUCUUUGAGUGAUAUUGAUUUUAGGUUUGGGCUAAGGAGAUCGCAUCACGUUUGCUUACCAGGUGUGUACAUACACUGCACACACAUUAUGUGUCGGCAAAAGACGAAAUGCCAAAAAGCCGAAAUAUCGAAAUGCCGAAAAGCCAAAAGUUUGGCUACGAUAGUGUUACGAGUGCGUGAACACUCGUAAGGGGGAGACUGAUAGAUUGCCUGAGGCCCACGGGUGAUUCUGUGACUUGGGUUGUGAUUUGGCCAUAUGGGCCGGAAUGGGCUAAAUGGGCCCAAUGGACUGUUGGGCCUAUAAUAGGCAAAAACUGAAUGUUGAUGCUAUGGGAUAGGAACUUGUAUGUGAGCAUGAAUAUGAAUGUGAUUAGGCCUAACGGGCCAUAUAAAUGUGAUUUGGGUCUAAUGGGCCAUAAAUAGGUGAUUUGGGCCUAAUGGGCCAUAUGAAUAUUAUUGGGCUUAAUGGGCCAGAUACAGGUAUGUGAAAUUGUUUGGGCUCUGUAAGGGGUUUUGGGCCUAGUAUAUGAUUUCCACAUAAGACUUAGUUAAUAUGUUGCGACCGUGGACAAGUCAAAGGGUUAAAGUGUGGCAACGGGUAUAUGCAUGUCUAGGAUUGGAUCUAGGGAGAGCUUGGUACUUAAGCGGUCAUAAUGACUCAUCUUCUUUUCUCUGGAAUCCUACCUGGUGCAAAGUGUUUGUUCAUCUUAGCACACGGGACUCGUUAACGGACCAAGGUAAGUGAAAACCGUAAUUAAGGGAAAAUUAUCAAAAUGCCCCUAAGGGCGAAAAUGACCAAAAUACCCAUAGGUGUAGAAUGUAAGUUUUAUGGAUGUGACAUGCAUACAUAAGAUAUUCUGCUUAGGUUGUGUAACACCCCUUACCCGUACCCGAGGCCGGGAUAAGGUACGAGGCAUUACCGGACAAACAUACAAACAUUAAACUAAAAUACGGGCCAUAAAAUUUCAUUCAUAUUUCAAAACAUUCAUUCACUUACACAUAGUCCCUUAUUUGAGUCUACGAAGCCCAAAACAUACAUUAGAAAGGGUUCGGGACUAAACCGAGAACUUACGAAAAUUUUGAAAAUUUCAUGCUUUAAGGCUCCACACGCCCGUGUCCUAAAGUCGUGUUCCAUACACGGCUGAGACACAUGGUCGUGUCUUUGCUUGUGUGGAAUAUACCUUGGCUAUUUUCCAAGCUUUGGUCAACCUUAAUCUCUUACACACUUAUACAAAAUCAAAAGCAUAUAACAUGGUAUUCAUUUAAUGAAUAAAUAUUCUCAAUUAAACCACAAACAUAGCAUUUGUAUGUCAUCAUACAUGUGUCUCUCAUACUCAUUUUACCUUGUUUAUUAUAGUACCACUUAUACAUUUAUACCAAGAUUACCAUCUUACCAAAUAUCUUUAGCAUAAUCAUCAAGCAUUCAUAUUUAAAACUAGAUCAUAUCUUUAUAAAAUACCACAAUUCAGAUACACAAAAUAACAUGUUUUCCUGAAACAAUUCAAUUCAACUCCAUACCCAACAAGCAUUACAUUGAGACUAGUCAUAUAUAUAUAUACACGUCAUGAUACAUAUCAUUCUCUUUCUGUUUUCUUAUAAACACAUAUCAUUUAUUUCAUUAUAUCAAUAUUUCAUAUACCAUAGUUUCCAUGUAUUCCACAUAUAUUUAUUUUCCUCUUCCUCCUCUCCACUCCACAUCCUUAAUGUAUAUAGCAUUCUUGUAAGUACGAUUUCACAAUUUACUAAUAAAUGCUCACAUCAAACUGUCCACACGAGUCAUAGUCACUUACUUAUUUAUAAUUCGAGCUACAGAGCUCCAAAUUAAAAUCAAUAAAUUUAAGCCUCACAUAAUGUUCUUGUUGAUUUUUAUUGAAAAUAGACUCAUUUAUGAUUUUAAAAAUAUAAGUUUAAGCCUCCAAUUAUUUUUAUCCAAAUUUUUGUGAUUUUCCAAAGUCAGAACAGGGGAUCACGUAAUCAUUCUGAACCAGUAUCACAAAAACAUAAAUAUAUCAAAAUAUAGAACUCCUUUUCUUGAUAUGUUUCUUUUAUAUGAAAAUAGACUCAUUAAUCUUUAAUUUGAUAUCUCAUUCAGUCUCUGAUUCAAUUUCUACUAUUUUUGGUGAUUUUUAAAAAUUACGUCACUGCUACUAUCCAAAACAGUUUUAUUGCUAAUUCACUCUUUCACAUUUUCUUUGUAUUAACCUCAUUUUAACAUACAUAUCACAAAUCAUUUUCACCACAUUUCAUACACCACAAGUAUAUGCCCAUGAUCACAAGGUCACCAUAAAAUCAUCCUAUUGUAUAACUUACUUGUUUAUAACGUCACCACAUCCUGGUCACUUAAUGAAGACAUCAUUCACAUAAUCAAGUUCCUGCACUUAUUCAUCACAAAACUCACAAAGCAAUACAUAGAGAGUCUCCCGUUGAACACUUCGGAAUAUAAUUCGGAUACAUGGAAGGUUUGCACAUAAGUGCCACAUAUGUAGCCAAACUAUCUGGUACGCAUAGUAGCCUGCACUUAGUACUACACAUGCGACCAAUUAUCCGGUACACGUAGUAGCCUGCACUUAGUACUACACACGUGACCUAAUUAUCUGAUACACGUAGUAGCCUGCACUUAGUACUACACACGUGAUCGAAGUUAUCGGGUAUGCAUAGUAGCAUGCACUUAGUACUACACAUGCGACCUAGCUACAUAUAUCCCGUAGCUCUCUUGUCUACAUGGUGUACACAUAAAUCACCCAUGCGACCUAGCUACAUUAUAAUGUCUUGUAGCUCUCUUGUACACAUGAUGUGCACUUAGCACCAUACGUGUGACCUAGCUACAUACUAUCUGUAUCAUCCAAUCUUUUUGAAGGUUCAACCGGGAUUUCUCUCUCUUUUCCAACAAUUUCACCAAUCAAGUAAUUAUCCACAAACAUAUUUCCAAUAUUAUUAUAAAAUAUCAUAAUGCAAGUAAUACUGAUGUAUUACUUACAUAUAAACUUACAUCUCAUUUAAUAUCAAGGCAAUCACAUUACAUUAUACAUUGUCUUAUUAAAAAUCAUAUGAACUUACAAUUUCCCAUAAUAUCCAUAAUCAUAGAAAUCACUUUUAUGUAUGAUAAUUCAAUGCACUUCAUGUACCAUAGACAUAUUUUUAAAUCAAUUCAUAAACUUGGCACCAUAAUCAUUUAAUUUAACAUAAUUCAAUUAAUUCACUAAAUUUAACUUUCAAAUAUAAAUUGCAGCACUAUUGCUGUAUUAUUAUCAUACCAACUUACAUACUUACAAUACCUCAGAAAUCAUAGUAAAUAUAUCAAUUUUAAAUUGAAACAUGCAUAAAUUAAUGCUUAUUAUAUAUAUGAACUUACCUUAAUACUAAAACGACCAUUUUACCAACUUUUCUAAUUUUCGAUUUUUCUCUCAUUCUAGGUUCAAAUCUCGUUUUCCGAGAUCUAAAACAUCAUAUUUUACUUAUUUAAUUAAUGUAAUAUUCAAAACAGUUCUUAACUCAAACUUUUGCAAAAUUACAAUUUUGCCCCUAAACUUCUGCAUAUUUACACUUUUUCCCCUAGGCUCGGGAAUUAAACUUCAUCCCUUAUUCUUAUGUUUUAUGACAUUCUGAUCACUUUUCCCUUCUAUGGAAACAUCAAAUUCUCACUCUAACAUAUACUUAUGACUAUUAGGUAUUUUUACCGAUUAAGCCCUUUUACUCGUUUUCAGUGAAAACCGAGUAGCACAAGUUGUCUAACAUAAUUUAAAAUCUCAUAUUCUAUUAUAAAACAGAAAAAUUAACAUAUUUCACCUAUGGGUAUUUUUCCAAAUAUGAACCCUAGCUUAAAUUAUUGCUAGAAUAAGCUUAAUCAAAUUACCGGGAUUCCAAAAACGUAAAGAACUUGAAAAACAGGGUUAGAAUGGUCUUACAAUUGAGCUUGGAAAGCUUGAAAACCCUAGCCAUGGCUUCCCCCAUGCUAAUUUCGGCCUCCAUGAGAAAGAUGAGUCAAUUUUGGCUUUAUUUUCCCUUUUUAUUUCUUUUAAUUACCAAAUGACCAAAAUACCCUUUCUUACUAAACUUUCAAAAAUUCCAUCCAUGUCCAAUUUUUGUCCAUCACUUAGAAAUUGGUAAAAUUUCUAUUUAAGACCUCCUAAUUAAUAUUUCAAAGCAAUUUCAUACUAGAAACUUCUAGAAUGCAAGUUUUGCAACUUAUUCAAUUUAGUCCCUAACUUCAAAUUGAGCACUUUAUGCAUAGAAUUUCUUCACGAAAUUUUCACACAAUCAUGCAAUCAUAUCAUAGACCUCAAAAUAAUCAUAAAAUAAUUAUUUCUAUCUCGGAUUUUGUGGUCCCGAAACCUCUGUUCCAACUAGACCCAAUUUUGGGCUAUUACAACUCUCCCCCCUUUAAAGAUUUUCGUCCUCGAAAAUCUUACCAGAGUGAAGUUUAGUAUCUUUCUCAUAAUUUCCAGCAUUACUAACUAAUUUUUUUCAAGACGAUACUUUUAGAAACACUUUGUCAUCAAUUUGAAUCCCAAGAUAACUUAGUCAACUCUGAUAUUUCUCUAACUCUGUCCUUCACUUGUCAACCAUUCUCAGUCUCUGGUCAUAUCUAUAAUUAUUUUAUCACUGAACUCUUUGAUUCCACACUUAGGAACUUAGUCAACAUGGUUCUCAUGAAUUUCCGUUAUAUACACCUCAUCAGUAAGGGGGUGAGGUCGUACAGUCCCUAACUCGAUUCUGACAUAUAUCUAUAUGACACAUUUUUUUCAUUAUCCACAUAUGUCAUUAUAAUCAUACUAUCCACUUCAAACAAUUUAUUAUUCAUAUCUGUCUUACAUAAAAUUUCCAAUUAUCUCAUUUCAAACAACUACACUCACUCAUACAUUCUAUGAAUUUUGAAUAACUUUAGUCAUCACAUUUACUAAUUAGUUUAGUCAAGCAUGCAACAGCAUAUGUAGGCCAAACAAAUAUGAAUAAAUAUAUCGCUAUAUAAACUUUCAUCUCACAUAUUAUCACAUAUAUAUAUCACGAAUUCUUAUUCAUGCCUUCCCGAGUUUAACACAUCAUAGCUACACUUUAUUCAAAUACUUCAAUGUUACUAUUAAAUGGUCAGAUGUAGCUCGGUUAGAGAAUACUUCAUUUUAAACAAAAUGGUCCUCAUUAGCGUCGAGAGACAUCACACUACCACAUAUUUUUGGCAUGUAUAACUAAACUCUCACACUUGCUAUGUUAGUCUGAGAAUCGACUAAACCAUAACUCUGAUACCACUAAAAGUAACACCCCUUACCCGUACCUGAGGCCGGGAUAAGGUACGAGGUGUUACCGGAAAAACAUACAAACAUUAAACUAAAAUAUGGGCCAUAAAAUUUCGUUCAUAUUUCAAAACGUUCAUUCACUUACACAUAGUCCCUUAUUUGAGUCUACGAAGCCCAAAACAUACUUGUCCCUUAUUUGAGUCUACGAAGCCCAAAACAUACUUUAGAAAGGGUUCGAGACUAAAACGAGAACUUACAAAAAUCUUGAAAAUUUCAUGCUUUAAGGCUCCACACGCCCGUGUCCCAAAGUCGUGUUCCAUACACAGCUGAGACACAUGGUCGUGUCUCUGCCUGUGUGGAAUAUACCUAGGCUAUUUUCCAAGCUUUGGUCAACCUUAAUCUCUUACACACUUAUACAAAAUCAAAAACAUAUAACAUGGUAUUCAUUUAAUGACUAAAUAUUCUCAGUUAAACCACAAACAUAGCAUUUGUAUGUCAUCAUACAUGUGUCUCUCAUACUGAUUUUACCUUGUUUAUUAUAGUACCACUUAUACAUUUAUACCAAGAUUACCAUCUUACGAAAUAUCUUUAGCUUAAUCAUCAAGCAUUCAUAUUUAAAACUAGAUCAUAUCUUUAUAAAAUACCACAAUUCAGAUGCACAAAAUAACAUGUUUUCCUGAAACAAUUCAAUUCAACUCCAUACCCAACAAGCAUUACAUUGAGACUAGUCAUAUAUAUAUACACGUCAUGAUACAUAUCAUUCUCUUUCUGUUUUCUUAUAAACACAUAUCAUUUAUUUCAUUAUAUCAAUAUUUCAUAUACCAUAGUUUCCAUGUAUUCCACAUAUAUUUAUUUUCCUCCUCCUCCUCCCCAUUCCACAUCCUUAAUGUAUAUAGCAUUCUUGUAAGUACGAUUUCACAAUUUACUAAUAAAUGCUCACAUCAAACUGUCCACACGAGUCAUAGUGACUUACUUAUUUAUAAUUCGAGCUACAGAGCUCCAAAUUAAGAUCCAUAAAUUUCCUCUAAAACUACACUAAAAUAUGUUUCCACCAUAAAAUUUUCAUAAUUUUUGGUUUAGCCAAUUAGUACAGUUUAUUCAUUAAAAUUUCCCCUGUUUCACUUUCUGACAGUUCUGAUCUCUCUUCACUAAAAAUUAAUCAUCUCACAGUACAGAACUCGGAUAAUGUUCUUGUUGAUUUUAUUGAAAAUAGACUCAUUUAUGAUUUUAAAAAUAUAAGUUUAAGCCUCUAAUUAUUUUUAUCCAAAUUUUUGUGAUUUUCCAAAGUCAGAACAGGGGAUCACAUAGUCAUUCUGACCAGUCUCACAAAAACAUAAAUAUCUCAAAAUAUAGAACUCUUUUUAUUGAUAUGUUUCUUUUAUAUGAAAAUAGACUCAUUAAGAUUUAAUUUAAUAUCUUAUUCAGUCUCUGAUUCAAUUUCUACUAUUUUUGGUGAUUUUUCAAAAUCACGUCACUGCUACAGUCCAAAACAGUUUUAUUGCUAAUUCACUCUUUCACUUUUUCUUUGUAUUAACCUCAUUUUAACAUACAUAUCACAAAUCAUUUUCACCACAUUUCAUACACUACAAGUAUAGGCCCAUGAUCACAAGUUCACCAUAAAAUCAUCCUCAUGUAUAACUUACUUGUUUAUAACCUCACCACAUCCUGGUCACUUAAUGAAGACAUCAUUCACAUAAUCAAGUUCCUGCACUUAUUCAUCACAAAACUCACAAAGCAAUACAUAGAGAGUCUCCCGUUGAACACUUCGGAAUAUAAUUCGGAUACAUGGAAAGUUUGCACAUAAGUGCCACAUAUGUAGCCAAACUAUCUGGUACGCAUAGUAGCCUGCACUUAGUACUACACAUGCGACCAAUUAUCCGGUACACGUAGUAGCCUGCACUUAGUACUACACACGUGACCUAAUUAUCUGAUACACGUAGUAGCCUGCACUUAGUACUACACACGUGAUCGAAGUUAUCGGGUACGCGUAGUAGCCUACACUUAGUACUAUACAUGCGACCUAGCUACAUAUAUCCCGUAGCUCUCUUGUCUACAUGGUGUACACAUAGAUCACCCAUGCGACCUAGCUACAUCAUAAUGUCUUGUAGCUCUCUUGUACACAUGAUGUGCACUUAGCACCAUACAUGUGACCUAGCUACAUACUAUCUGUAUCAUCCAAUCUUUCCGAAGGUUCAACCGGGAUUCUCUCUCUUUUCCAACAAUUUCACGAAUCAAGUAAUUAUCCACAAACAUAUUUCCAAUAUUAUUAUAAAAUAUCAUAAUACAAGUAAUAUUGAUGUAUUACUUACAUAUAAACUUACAUCUCAUUUAAUAUCAAGGCAAUAACAUUAAAUUAUGCAUUGCCUUACUAAAAAUCAUAUGAACUUACAAUUUUCCAUAAUAUCCAUAAUCAUAGAAAUCACAUUUAUGUAUGAUAAUUGAAUGCACUUCAUGUACCAUAGACAUAUUUUUAAAUCAAUUCAUAAACUGGGCACCAUAAUCAUUUAAUUUAACAUAAUUCAAUUAAUUCACUAAAUUUAACUUUCAAAUAUAAAUUGCAGCACUAUUGCUGUAUUAUUAUCAUACCAACUUACAUACUUACAAUACCUCGGAAAUCAUAGUAAAUAUAUCAAUUUUAAAUUGAAACAUGCAUAAAUUAAUGCUUAUUAUAUAUAUGAACUUACCUCGAUACUAAAACGGCCAUUUUACCAACUUUUCUAAGUUUCAAUUUUUCUCUCAUUCUAGGUUCAAAUCUCUUUUUCCGAGAUCUAAAACAUCAUAUUUUACUUAUUUAAUUAAUGUAAUAUUCAAAAUAGUCCUUAACUCAAACUUUUGCAAAAUUACAAUUUUGCCCCUAAACUUUUACAUAUUUACACUUUUUCCCCUAAGCUCGGGAAUUAAAUUUCAUCCCUUAUUCUUAUGUUUUAUGACAUGCUGAUCAAUUUUCCCUUCUAUGGCAACAUCAAAUUCUCACUCUAACAUAUACUUAUGACUAUUAGGUAUUUUUACCGAUUAAGCCCUUUUACUUGUUUUCAGUCAAAACUGAGUAGCACAAGUUGUCUAAUAUAAUUUAAAACCUCAUAUUCUAUUAUAAAACAGAAAAAUAAACACAUUUCACCUGUAGGUAUUUUUCCAAAUAUGAACCCUAGCUUAAAUUAUUGCUAGAAUAAGCUUAAUCAAAUUACUGGGAUUCCAAAAACGUAAAGAACUUGAAAAACAGGGUUAGAAUGGACUUACAAUUGAGCUUGGAAAGCUUGAAAACCCUAGCCAUGGCUUCCCCCAUGCUAAUUUCGGCCUCCAUGAGAAAGAUGAGUCAAUUUUGGCUUUAUUUUCCCUUUUUAUUUCUUUUAAUUACCAAAUGACCAAAAUACCCUUUCUUACUAAACUUUCAAAAAUUCCAUCCAUGUCCAAUUUUUGUCCAUCACUUAGAAAUUGGUAAAAUUUCUAUUUAAGACCUCCUAAUUAAUAUUUCAAAGCAAUUUCAUACUAGAAACUUCUAGAAUGCAAGUUUUGCAACUUAUUCAAUUUAGUCCCUAACUUCAAAUUGAGCACUUUAUGCAUAGAAUUUCUUCACGAAAUUUUCACACAAUCAUGAAAUCAUAUCAUAGACCUCAAAGUAAUCAUAAAAUAAUUAUUUCUAUCUUGGAUUUUGUGGUCCCGAAACCUCUGUUCCAACUAGACCCAAUUUUGGGCUAUUACAGGUUGCAUGUGGGUGGGAAUUAUGGAACGGAGGAAGUAUAUGAGGAUCACAUGGUUGCUUGAAAAUUGUGGAUUCACCGACGGCUUUUAAAGACCAAUAUGUAAAUGAAGGUAGUUCCGCAACUGGGCUACCAUGGUGUGUGGGCUGGGUGGGUCGAUAUUUAUAUCCCCACAUGGUGUGACAAGGGAUGGAGCUGGUCUGUAACGGAUGGAUAAUUUGGAUGGGAUUGCAUUGCAUGAUUGAUGAGUGAUGUUUUUUUUGAAUGCUUGUUUUUGCGGAGGGUUGUACACACUGAGUUUGUGAAAACUCACCCCUUCUUUUAUUUUAUUUUCAGGUGAUGCUCAGUAGAAGGUUCUAUGUUUGGCGGGACUCUGGGUGGCCAGCUAGCAAGAUAACUCAGACUUGGUUUUUUUUUUAGCAUUUAAGUUUUUAUUUCUUUUUAAGUGUGUUCAGACCAGGUUGUAAUAAGGUUUUCAUUAUGUUAUUAUUAUUUGCAAUUUAAUUACGAGAAGUUGAACAUGGAUUUCUUAAAUUAUAGUAUGUUUCUACAUUUCCGUAACUAAGUUUUUUUUAAAAAAAAUCAAAUGUUUUAAACAAGGCGUUCGUAACUGAAAGGUUUUUUUAGUUAAUUAUGGUUUCUUUCAUUUUAAGAAGGGUUUUCAAUGAAAACACAGUUUUCGCUAAAACACUUCAAUGUGACACACUGAAUUCGGCCAUAAAGUCCAGGCCGAGUUUGGGGUGUUACAUUUAGUGGUAUCAGAGUCCAGGUUGUAAAACUCGGGCUGUGAAGUGAGCCUUAUUACUAUUUGGUUUCUUUUCUGUUUAAAUAAAAUUGGAUCACGCUAUUAUUGAAAAGGGAAAAUCUUGCUGAGCGGCACACCGAGUCUCCGACAUCGAACCAAGUAAGUACUUUUAUUGAUUUAAGUUUAUUUAAAUUGUUAUAUAGUAGAUAUUUAGAAGGCUACUUUAGUUGAUUGUUAGAAUAGAACUAAAGCCCGUAGGAUCUGGAAACUGUAGAGGAUUUUCGAAAAUGAUCUUCUCUUUAAAUAUUUUCUUAAAACAUCGGUGUAAGUAUUAAACUAACUAAAACUUCAUAAAAUUUUAAUCCAGAUAAUACACGAAUUGACGAUGAGUGCUAGAAGAGGUGCAAGGGGCCGUGGCCGAGGCCGCGGAAGUGUUAGGCUGAAUCGUCGGCAUCGGGCUAUAUGCCCGAUGUUGGAGGCUCCAGCCUCACCUGUGACUGGGAAUGGACAGUAUGAUCGGGCCGCGGGAGAAGAUGCAUUGUCACAGGCAAUGUUGAGGAUUUUGAAAGGGUCGCUAGGCCUAAUAAUGGCAACGAAAAUCGGGGUCCAUUCUAGAACGACUUCGAUCGAAUGGGGCUGAGAUCUUUAAAGGCGUGGCUGGCGUGGCUCCUAAUGUGGCGGAAUAUUGGUUGGAGGCCACUGAAAGGAUAAUGGAGGAUUUGGACUACUCACCUAAGCCAAAUUUGAAAGGGACAGUGUCAUUGCUUAGGGAGGAAGCCUACCAGUGGUGGUUGACAAUGAAAGAGGGCACCCAAUCGGAGCGGGUCACCUGGGAGUUUUUCAAAGUUGUAUUCCAAGGGAAGUAUGUGGGUGCAAGCUAUGUGGAUACUAGGAGGAAGGAGUUCCUAAACUUGACCCAAGGAAAUAAAUCAGUGGCGGAGUAUGAGGCGGAGUUUCUACACCUUAGUAGGUAUGCAAGGGUAAUGGUGCCAAUGGAGCAUGAGCGUUGCGUUAGGUUUGAGGAUGGGCUUAGAGAUAGCCUCAGGGUACUGAUAGCUCUACAAAGGGAACGAGUUUUCUCGGAGUUGGUGGAGAAAGCAAAGAUAGCAGAGGAGGUAACUCGCAUUGAGCGCCUAAACCAGAAGAAGGAAAGGGGUAAGAAUAAAAGGGAGGCUGAGACCCCGGGUGUUGGACAAAGGCCUCGGACUAGGGCCAGAAAUAAUUGGCCAAUUAGACCAGGGCCCCUUGCUGCUAAUCCAGUGGUGCCACCUUGUGCUGAUUGAGGGAGAAGGCAUGGAGGCAAGUGUUGGAAGUGAAUGGGAAUUUGUUCUAUGGAGCAUAGGAUCAAGGAUUGCCCUUGAACGCUAGGUCGAGAGCUAGUAGUGUGUCAAGGAGGUUUUCAGCCACCAAGGGGUAGACAGCUGCCGCCAAGGGGUCGUGGACAGGCUAAGGCAGUAACGACAAUGGACGUGGACUCGAAGCACCGGGCGGAAAUACGGGCUAUGCAGAGGCGAUAUAGCCAGUUUUGGUUUAUGCUGCUCGUCGUCAAGAAGACGAGGAUGCCCCAAAUGUGAUAAUAGGUAUGUUUCUUAUAUAUGAGUUACCUUACACAGCCUUAAUUGACAUUGGAUCGACGCAUUCAUAUGUUGCAUGCAAUAACAUUGAGUCUUUAGGUGAUAUGUUUGAGAUUAUUGCGAAUGAGAUGACUGCGAUAAGCCCGUUAGGGCAGUCUGUAGGAGUGAAUAAGAUGUUUAGAGAGGUACCUUUAGUAGUUCAAGGGGUUACUUUUUUAGCAGAUUUGAUGGAAUUGCCAUUUAGUGAAUUUGACUUAAUCUUAGUUAUGGAUUGGCUGGUAAAGCACUGAGCCACCUUGUAUUGUGUUACAAAGCGAAUGGUGUUAAGAAUGGUGGAGGAUAAGGAAGUAGUGGUGAUUGGUGAACGUUGGAACUAUCUAUCGAACGUGAUUUCGAUGUUAAGGCUGAGAAGUUAGUACGAAAGCCUUUUUGGCUUAUAUUAGUGAUACAAAGGCUAAGAGCCUUACUGUUAAGGAGUUGAGAACGGUUAGGGAAUUUUUGAAUUGUUUAUGAGACGACUUUAUAAUGGUGAUAUUUGGGCUUUGAGCCUAGCAAGCUUUAAGAUGGUGAAUAAUAUUAUCGGGUUUAAAACCUAGCAGGCUAAAUGCCGGUGAUUUGAUAAAAGUCUAAGACUAUGAGACCUUGUGUUAAAUCGGCAAUUGAAUUUGUUCAAUGCAUUAAGUUGGCCAGGUAUGUGAUAUAUUCUUAUGCAUGUUAGAUCGAUUGGAAUUGAAUUAUGAGUGUGAAAUGAGAAGCAUAGGUGAAAAUGCCUAUGUCAUAUAUGUGAGUAAGGGCAAAACCAUCGUAAAUUAUCGAUAAGGGUGGACUAUGUGCGGAAUCAUCUUAUAAUUGCUAAUUUGAACGGUUGUGUGCGAAUCAUUGAGCAUGAUGUAUUGUGUUGAGAUUAUGCUUGAGUGAAAUUAUAGAUAUGUGACGAAAUUGAUUGGUGAUAUACAUGUUUAAAUAAUGUGAAUGCAAAGAAUGUGUGAAAGAGUAAAUUUGUAAUAAAUCUGCUUGGGACAGCAGCAGUAACGUGAUUUUGGAAAAUCACCAUAAAUUGUUGGAGUUGAGUUAGAAGCUGAAUAAAUUAUGUAAUUAAAGCUUAAUGAGUCUAGCUUCUUAUAAAAGAAACCGUGUAAGCAAAAGAAUUUCUGAUAAUGAGAUAUUUGAAGUGGCGUGGGAUAGAGUCAAAUGACCUCGGGGUCCCCUGUUCUGUUUUUAGAAAAUCAUUAUAAUUUGUACAAAAAUGGUUAUAAGAUAAAAUUUAUAUGCUUAGACUCCCUAAUGAGUGUAGUUUCAAAUUAAAUCAAAUAGAACAUAUUUUGAAUUCUGUACAAUGAGAAAUUUGAUUCGUAGUGAAGAGUGGUCAGAUUAGUCAAACAGUGAAAUAGGGGAAACUUUAAGAAAAAUCUGGUAUUGAUUGACCAAACCUAAAAUUCUAAAAAUUUUAUGGAUGGAAGAUAUAUGAGUCUAUUUUCAGGGAAAAGUAACAGAAAUUGAUUUGGAGUUUUGUAGCUCCAGUUAUAAAUAAUUUAGUGACUAUUGCUCAGGAAGACAACUUGUAGUGAAUUUGUGAUUAUGUUGUAAACAUUGAUAAAACUCAAGAUAAGCAGCAAGAGAGUUUUGGAAAACUCAAGAAAGUUUUAAUUGAGGCCCCUGUGUUGAUCCAACCAGUGCCUGGGAAGGAGUUUACGGUUGAUAGUGAUGCGUCGCAUGUAGGCUUAGGUUGCGUAUUGAUGCAAGAAGGAAAAGUGGUUGCAUAUGCGUCACAACAAUUUAAGCCUCACGAGGUGAAUUACCCAACCCAUGAUUUAGAGCUAGCUGCGGUGGUGUUCGCACCUAAAAUAUGGAGGCAUUACUAAUACGGGGAGAAGUGCAUAGUUUAUUCGGACCACAAGAGUUUGAAGUACCUUCUUACCCAAAAGGAGCUAAACCUUAGGCAACGCAGGUGGGUGGAAUUAUUGAAGGAUUAUGAUUGUACGAUUGAAUACCACCCUGGCAAAGCGAAUGUGGUAGCCGACACAUUGAGUCAUAGGGCUAAGGCAGACUUGAGAGCUAUGCUCUCCCGUUUAAGUUUGUCAGAUGAUGGUAGCUUGUUAGUUGAGCUUCAAGUAAAGCCGGUGUGGGUUGAGUAGAUAAGGUGUAAAUAAUUAGUGGAUGAGACUUUGAGUGCUCGUUUUAAGCAAGUGGAGAAUAGGGAGACAUCAAACUUUGGGAUGAAUAGUGAAGGAGUAUUAUGUUUCCGUGGGAGAAUGUGUAUACCAAAGGACGAUGAUCUAAGGCAGUCUGUUCUAUAGGAAGCACAUAGCGGUCUCUAUGCAAUUCAUCCUAGCGGAAACAAGAUGUAUUGGAAUUUGCGUGAGCUUUAUUGGUGGCCUAGACUUAAGCGCGAGGUUAUGGAGUUCGUAGUUAAAUUCUUGGUUUGUCAAAAGGUGAAAGCGGAACAUCAGUUGCCUUCGGGAUUGCUUUAGCUAGUGAAGAUUCUACUUUGGAAGUGGGAAAGGAUCACUAUAGACUUUGUUAGUGGGCUACCCCUGACGCAUGCUAAGAAAGACUCAAUAUGGGUUAUAGUGGAUCGGUUAACCAAGUCUGCCCAUUUUGUACCGGUUCGCACUGAUUACUCGUUGCAAAAGCUAGCUAGGCUGUAUGUGGCGGAGAUUGUAAGAUUGCAUGGAGUGCCAGUCUCCAUAAUAUCUGAUAGGGACCCACGUUUCACUUCGUGAUUUUGGAAGAAGCUGUACGAGGAAUUGGGUAUUAGGUUGAAUUUCAGCACGACAUUUCACCUUCAAACUGAUGGACAGUCGGAAAGGGUGAUCCAAGUGUUGGAAGAUAUGUUGAGGGGAUGCGUGAUUGAGUUCCGAGGUAGUUGGGAGGACUAUUUACCGCUAGCUGAAUUUGCAUACAAUAAUAGCUAUCAAGCAAGCAUUGGGAUGGCUCCAUACGAAACACUGUAUGGGCAAAGGUGUCGAACUCCAACAUGUUGGACGGAGUUGGGUGAACGAAGAGUUUUGGGCCUUGAGUUAGUAGCCGAUACUGAGGAUAAGGUAAAAUUGAUUCAGGAUCGUUUGAAGGAGGACUCGGAUAGGCAGAAGUCGUAUGCUGACCUUAAGCAUCGAGAGAUAGAGUAUGUAGUGGGAGACUUAGUUUUUCUUAAGGUCUCUUCGUGGAAGAAGGUGUUAAGGUUUGGACGAAAGGGUAAGCUAAGCCCAAGGUUCAUUGGACCAUAUCAGGUUGUAAAGCGGGUUGUGCCAGUCGCUUAUCAGUUGGAAUUACCUCCUGAACUAAGCCAGAUCCACGACGUGUUCCAUGUUUCUAUGCUGAGACGAUAUCGCUCGGAUCCUUCCCAUGUCGUGGUGAUUAAAGAAAUUGAGGUCAGACCAGACCUAACUUUCGAGGAAGAGCCCAUACAAAUAAUUGGUCGUGAUGUUAAGGUACUGAGAAGGAAAUCCAUUCCAUUAGUCAAAGUGCUUUGGUGUAAUCACAAGGUUUAGGAGGCUACUUGGGAACCUGAGGAAGCGAUGCGAUGUCAACAUCCUCAAUUGUUUGAAUUAGGUGAAUUUCGAGGAUGAAAUUUCUUUUGGGGGGGUAGAGUAGUAACGCCCCAAAAAUCUUGAAAUCCAAAAAUCCCAAAAUCCCGAAAUCCCGAAUUUUAUUUAUUUUCGAUUUUAAUAAAAAUUAUGUUUAAUAUUUUUAUCCAAGCGAUAAUUUUAGUAGGUCUUAGCUAAGGUCAAGUUCGAAUUAAGGGGUAGAAGAAAUUAUAAUUUAAUUGUUAAAAGAAUCAGGGCUGACAAGUAGGUGGGCUUUUGAAUAAAUGAAGAAACAAUUGGACACAAAAAAGAGCCUGUGAUGGAGUGGUUAAAUGACGCCACAUAAGGUGUAGUGAGGUGGCGUUAGUAGCUAGAAAGAGGGUCCAAGGUUCGAAUCCUAGCUUAGUAUUUUUAGAGUUUAAUUUUGGCCUUCUAGAAGGAUGGAAGUGGUGUGAAGAUGGACUCCAAGGGGAGUGUUCAGAAGAGAAAAUUAAGGAAAGGAUCAAGGGGUUAUCAAGGAGAAAAACAAGGAGAUGAGAAGUGAGGAGUAAGUGGAGCCGAAUUGGGAACUUGGGCUUGAAGAAUUCAGUUAUAGGGCUAUAAAUAGGUGCCGAAUGGGAGGGUUGAAAAGCUUUGUGCCAAAAACCCUUUUCUCUAAAAAGCCGAAAACCUUUUUUUUUCUUUUCUUUCUUUGUGCCGAAUUCUUAUCCCUCCUCUACUCAACAUUUUCUUUGGUUUGGCCGAUUCUUCUUCCUCUAUUCUUUGGUGCUGAAUAAUCAAUUGUUGCCAUUCAAAUCUCUAAAAGCUGAAUACCCUUGGUGCUACCACUACUCUUUCCACCCAGUCAGUUCUAGUGUAAGUGUUCGCUCUCCUAAUCAAUUUUUGAUAAGUAUCGAGUAUUCGGUCCCACACUUCUUUCUAAUCAACUUUGGUAGGGAAUUAGUGUUAGAUCUCGAUUUUGGAUUCUUACCGAUUUACUCUUCAGAUCUGAGAAAUACGCGUGUUUAGUGAUCAAAGUAAAAGCUAGUAAAGGCUUGGCGUUCAGGUAAGUUUAAGGUGAGAUUUUGGCUUUUGGUAAAGUAAUCGAUAAGUACGUGUGAUUAAUCUUUGAGUGAUAUUGAUUAUAGGUUUGGGCUAAGGAGAUUGCAUCACGGUUGCUUACCAGGCGUGUACAUACACAGCACACACAUUAUGUGUCGGCAAAAGCCGAAAUGCCAAAAUGCUGAAAAGCUGAAAGUUUGGCUACGGUAGUGUUGCGAGUGCAUGAACACUAGUAAGGGGGAGACUGAUAGGUUGCCUGAGGCCCACGGGCGAUUCCGUGGACUUGGGUUGUGAUUUAGCCACACUGGCCGGAAUGGGCUAUGUAAUGCCCCGUACCCGAGACCAUUUUCGGAGUCGAACACGAGGUGUUAAUAGACUUAAUUCAUUACUUAAACAGCUCAUACAAUUCAUUUUAAAAUUUUCAGACAAGCUGGCUAACUGCAUCACAGUCGCUUUAAAAAUCAUAUCUCGAGUUACGAAACUCGAAAUACAAUUCCGCAAAUUUUUCCUAAAACUAGACUAAUAUAUCUAUCUACUAAUUAUUUUCUAGAAUUUUUUGUCUGUCCAAUUAGUACAGUUUAUUAGUUAAAGUCUCCCCUGUUUCAGGGUUUGACUACUCUGACCUCUGUGUAUUACGAAUCAGAUAUCUCCCUCUACAGAGCUUCAAUGACUAUGGCGUUUGUCUCUAAUAAAACUAUACUCAAUAAGGAAUCUGUAAAUAUAAAGCAUGACUUCUAAUUAUCUUUUUAAAAUUUAUGGUGAAUUUACAAAGUCAGAACAGGGGAUCCAGAAAUCGCUCUGGCCCUGUUUCACAAAAAUUUAAACAUCUCAUAAAAUAUAACUCAUAUACCUGUUUUGUUCCAUCCAUAUGAAAAUAGACUCAUAAUUCUUCAAUUCCAUAUAUUAUUCAUCAUCUAAUUGUAUCUCUACUAUUUUUAGUGAUUUUUAAAACUCACGUCACUGGUGCUGUCUGAAUCUAUUUUAUAGUAAAUUUUACCUAUUUCAUGGUUUCCAUGGAUUAGCUAGCAAUUUAGCAUACAUAACACCAAAUAUGAUCAUGAUUAGCCAUUCCAAUGGCUAAUCAUUACCAAGCAUUUCCAUACCACUCAAUAACCAUAUCAUAAGACCAUAUAUACAAAAUGAUUAUAAUGCUAUACAUGCCAUACUCAAAAUAUACAAGCCAUUAUGCCAAGAUGGUAUACGGAUAGUGUGAGCGAGCCUUCGACCGUUCCCGAUUUCUGAGCUGGCUUGUCAAAACUACAAGGAAUGAAAAGGAGGGAGUAAGCAUAAAUGCUUAAUAAGUUCACAUGCAAAUAGCAAGUAACAUAACCAUAUAAGCAAACAUAAAACAUCAUUUGCAUAAUCAUCACCAAGACAUUCAUAUCACAUUUUCAUUUAUCAUCUUACCAUAUUGUUGUUAUAUCGAUUUUUCAACCCGAGGGUUAAGUACAUACCUGUUCAAAGUAUCCAUUUCAGAACACUUGCCAAUACGUCCCUUUCAUCUUGAGUAUUCCUCCAUUUCAGUAGAACUUUACCCGUUGAACACAUCGGAAUAUAAUUCGGAUACAUGGAAAGUUUGCACAUAAGUGCCACAUAUGUAGCCAAGCUACCAUGUAACCCGCCCAUAAGUGAACUCGGACUCAACUCAACGAGCUCGGAUGCCUAGUUACAUCUCUCGAACUCGGACUCAACUCAACGAGUUCGGACAUUCGCAUCCAUAAGUGAACUCGGACUCAACUCAACGAGUUCGGAUGCUCAACCAUCCUAGUGACAUGUCACUUGUAUCCUAAUCUAUUCCUAAGGUUCAAACGGGCUUUUUCCUCGAACACUUAUCCUUGCCGUCUUCCGUAGAAUGCCGAAAUCAAUACUCGGUAACAAUUAUAUUUAACAAGUAAUUCACAUAAUUUACAUAUUAUUUGAAAUUAACCACAAAGCAUACAUUUCAUAAUAAAAUUCAGCAUAACAUAUAAUUAACAUCAAUAACUUAAAAAUAACCAUUAUGCUACAUUAUUUACACAUGAACUUACCUCGUAUGCGAAAAUGGCUACUUUUACCAUUUCGUCCACAACUUAGUAUUUUCCCCAUUUUAGCCCGAAUUUCAUUUUUCCUUGCUCUAUCAUUUAAAAUAUAGUCUAAUUAGGACUCACAUUAUUCAAAUUUACCCAAAAUCAUAUUUUGGAAAAAUUACAAUUUUGCCCCUAAACUUUUGCAUAUUUACACUUUUGCCCCUAGGCUCAGGAAUUAAACUUUAUUCCUUAUUCUUAUGUUUCAUAACAUGCUGAUCAUUUUUCCCUUCUAUGGCAACAUCAAAUUCUCACUCUAACAUGUACUUAUGACUAUUAGGUAUUUUUACCGAUUAAGCCCUUUUGCUCGUUUUCACUUAAAACCGAGUAGCACAAGUUGUCUAACAUAAUUUAAAACCUCAUAUUCUAUCAUAAAACACCAAAAUACACAAAUUUCACCUAUGGGUAUUUUUCCAAAUAUGAAACCUAGGUUGAAUUAUUGCUACCAUAAGCUCAAUUGAGCUACCGGGACUCCAAAAACGUAAAAAUCAUUAAAAACGGGGCUUGGAAUCACUUACUAUGGAGCUUGGAAGCUUGAAACAAACCCUAGCUAUGGAGAACCCUUGAAAUUUCGGCCUAAUGAAGAAGAUGGACAAAAAUUGGCUUUUAAUUUUGUUUUUAAUUCAUUUUAAUAACUAAAUGACCAAAAUACCCUUACUGCUAAACUUUCCAAAAAUUCCUUCCAUGUCCUAAUUUUGUCCAUGAACUUAAAAUUGGUCAAAUUUCUAUUUAAGACCUCCUCAUUAGUAUUCCAAAACAAUUUCAUACUAAAAACUUCUAGAAUGCAAGUUUUGCAACUUAUUCGUUUUAGUCCCUACUUUCAAUUUAAGCACUUUAGGCAUAGAAUUUCAUCACGAAAUUUUCACACAAUCAUGCAAUCAUAUCAUAGACCUUAAAAUAAUCAUAAAAUAAUUAUUUCUAUCUCAGAUUUUGUGGUCACGAAACCACUAUUCCGACUAGGCCCAAAAUCAGGAUAUUACAACUCUCCCCCCCUUCAGGGAUUUUCGUCCCCAAAAAUCUUACCAGAAAAGUGGUCUUCACUUUUAAUCUCAUAUUCGGUGCCGAAGAACUUGCACUUAAACUAUACCUCCAAUACAUCUCUUCAAUUUAUCAUAUGAUCUAAAAGCUUACAGUCUCAACUCUCAACUGUUCUUAAACUUUCAACCCUUCUCAGUUUCCCAUGAUAUCGUGACAUAAAACCCGGAUCUCAACUUGAUUUAAUGGAGACCGGAAUUCCAAGAAAUCCGACAAUCAAAGAGACUUGAAAUUCCAUUAUAAGUACCACUUCGGUAAGGGGGAGGGGUUGUAGGACCUCUGACUCGACUUUCUUAUACAUACACAUAUGACACAACUUCCAUCAUCAUAAUAACAUCAUCAAAAUCAUGUCAUUCAUUCAUGUUGGCUUACACCAAUUUUCCUAUUGUCCCAUUUAGACAAUAUACUUAUGCAUACAUUCUAUGUUUUCUAGACAGCUUUACUUAUCCAUUCAUUUAAUUAAAUUAAUUCAUGCUCAUGACAUUAUAUAAGGCCAAACAAACAUAGAUAUUUGCAUCACAAUCACAACUUUCAUUUCGUGCAUCAUCAUGUACAUAUCAUUAUAAUCAUAUAAUUCAGUCCAACAAUUUAACAUAGAUAAGUUCAUUUCAUUAUAAUCCUUUAUCUCAUAAAAAUUAUAUAUUAUUAACAUUUAUCAACAUUCGACGUCCAAAUCAAGACAAUGACAUUUUCACUCGUAUCAUAAUAUUAUGACCUUUAUUCAUACCUCUACUACUUUCUAUUUAUUCCGCUCAUCUUAUCAAGUAAGCCACAUACACUACAUCAUAUGAGCAAUAAGCAAAUAUGAAUAUUUAUCACAACAUGAACUUUCAUCUCACAUAUUAUCACAUAUGUAUCAUAAACUUUUAUUCGUACUUUUCUGAACCGAGACUUAUCAUAAUCACAACUUUACUCAAUUACCUUCACAUAACAUUGAACAUGGUCGGCACAGCUCGGUUGGAGAGUACCCUGUCUAAAUAAGACAGUACUCAUACGCGUCGGAAGACAUCACACUAUCACAAAUCAGUGGCAUGUAUAGCUAAACUUUUAAACAUGCUCGGUUAGUCCGAGAACCAACUAAACCUGCUCUGAUACCACUAAAUGUAACGCCCCGUACCCGAGACCAUUUUCGGAGUCGAACACGAGGUGUUAAUAGACUUAAUUCAGUACUUAAACAGCUCAUACAAUUCAUUUUAAAAUUUUCAGACAAGCUGGCUAACUGCAUCACAGUCGCUUUAAAAAUCAUAUCUCAAGUUACGAAACUCGAAAUACAAUUCCGUAAAUUUUUCCUAAAACUAGACUAAUAUAUCUAUCUACUAAUUAUUUUCUAGAAUUUUUUGUCUGUCCAAUUAGUACAGUUUAUUAGUUAAAGUCUCCCCUGUUUCAGGGUUCGACUACUCUGACCUCUGUGUAUUACGAAUCAGAUAUCUCCCUCUACAGAGCUUCAAUGACUAUGCCGUUUGUCUCUAAUAAAACUAGACUCAAUAAGGAAUCUGUAAAUAUAAAGCAUGACUUCUAAUUAUCUUUUUAAAAUUUAUGGUGAAUUUACAAAGUCAGAACAGGGGAUCCAGAAAUCGCUCUGGCCCUGUUUCACAAAAAUUUAAACAUCUCAUAAAAUAUAACUCAUAUACCUGUUUUGUUCCAUCCAUAUGAAAAUAGACUCAUAAUUCUUCAAUUCCAUAUAUUAUUCAUCAUCUAAUUGUAUCUCUACUAUUUUUAGUGAUUUUUAAAACUCACGUCACUGGUGCUGUCUAAAUCUAUUUUAUAGUAAAUUUUACCUAUUUCAUGGUUUCCAUGGAUUAGCUAGCAAUUUAGCAUACAUAACACCAAAUAUGAUCAUGAUUAGCCAUUCCAAUGGCUAAUCAUUACCAAGCAUUUCCAUACCACUCAAUAACCAUAUCAUAAGACCAUAUAUACAAAAUGAUUAUAAUGCUAUACAUGCCAUACUCAAAAUAUACAAGCCAUUAUGCCAAGAUCGUAUACGGAUAGUGUGAGCGAGCCUUCGACCGUUCCCGAUUUCCGAGCUGGCUUGUCAAAACUACAAGGAAUGAAAAGGAGGGAGUAAGCAUAAAUGCUUAAUAAGUUCACAUGCAAAUAGCAAGUAACAUAACCAUAUAAGCAAACAUAAAACAUCAUUUGCAUAAUCAUCACCAAGACAUUCAUAUCACAUUUUCAUUUAUCAUCUUACCAUAUUGUUGUUAUAUCGAUUUUUCAACCCGAGGGUUAAGUACAUACCUGUUCAAAGUAUCCAUUUCACAACACUUGCCAAUACGUCCCUUUCAUCUUGAGUAUUCCUCCAUUUCAGUAGAACUUUACCCGUUGAACACAUCGGAAUAUAAUUCGGAUACAUGGAAAGUUUGCACAUAAGUGCCACAUAUGUAGCCAAGCUACCAUGUAACCCGUCCAUAAGUGAACUCGGACUCAACUCAACGAGCUCGGGCGUUCGCAUCCAUAAGUGAACUCGGACUCAACUCAACGAGCUCGGAUGCCUAGUUACAUCUCUCGAACUCGGACUCAA